AACGGCUUUGUCUUUUUUUAAAAUCGAUGAUUCAGUCGUGGAGUUUCUAUAAUCUUAUAAGAUUCUGUUUUUUUUUUUUUUUUCUUUUGUUAGAAGGAGGAGGGCUGAUGAGGAAGCUGCGAGGGUCGAAAAGACUGCAACAGAUGUCUUGAACAAAGUGAAUAAAUUCGUCAAAUUCAUGGUGAAAGCUUUUAUCUUGAAGAAAAAAGAAUAACGAUUUACGAAUGUCUAAGUAAAUUUUCAUCAUGACUUGAACCUGGCUGUCUUCUUUAGGACAUGUUUUUACUUCUUUAAUUUCCACCUUCUAUUUGGUUGCUUUGUUAAGCUCUUCAAUUAAUGUUAUGUCAAGUAUGAACUCAUGUUUUGCUCAUCUUGUGACAUUUGAUUUUCUCUCUUUGUUUUUUUGUUUCUAUAUUUCUCUUGUUUUUUUUCUUCAAUAUAAUGUACUACAAAUUGGCCGCCAAAACGUCUAGGGUAGUUGAAAAUACUCAGACGACACAAGUUUAACCGGUAAAAAUUUGGUCAAAGAAAAAGGUCAACGCUCGAUUAGUCUCUCACAAAUCACUAGAAGGAAGAUUCCUGAUCUUUAUCACAAGAGGAAGCAAGAGACUGUAUUAUCUCGUUUUAAAACUAAACUAAAUUCUAAUCCCGUGUGUUUGCACAAGAAUUUUUUUUUGUUUAACGAAUUUCGUAAUAUAAUUUAUGUUUUUUGAGUUUAGAUAAAAUUAUUUUUAUAGAUAUAGUUUUUUAAUAAGUAAAAAUAUUUAUUUUUUUAAUUUAGAUAUAAUUUGCUUUUUAUAAAUUCUUUUUUAUAAUAUUAAAGAUAAUUGUGAUUAUUAAAAAUAUAAUUUUACCAUGUCCAUUCAUAUUAAUCCAAAAAAAAAUAUAAUUAUAAAAUUUUAAUUUUAACUUGCCCGUUCAUAUUACUUUAUAAUAUAAAUAUUUAUUAAAGUUUGAGAUGUAUCAACGGUAUUUUAUUUAUCAUGAAAUAUCUUAUAAAUAGUUUUCUAAAUUUAAUCUUUAAUAAAUGCAUGUAAUAAUUUUUAAUUUAUUUUUUUAUGUUUUUAAUUUUAUAUAAAAAAUAUAUUUUGGUAUACAUUUAUGAUUUUUUUUUUGUUUGUCAACAGCCUCAAUACCUAGUACAGUUGGGUUAACCAAACUGGUGGUAUUGAGUUUACAUACAUAACAUUUUGAAGGUAGAUCCGAGCACUCCUUGCUAGGUUAUCCGCCUUCGAGUUCUUUGCGCGUGGGAUAUGGGAUAUACGAAAGAAACUGAAUUUGUCUUUCAUCUUCAUUAUCUCCUCCAAGUGUAGAGCAAAAGCCGGCCAGUCUUCGGGUGUAGACACUAUCUUCACCAACUCUGAACAGUCCGUAGCAAAAGCGACUUCCAUCUUUUGAUUCUCCAACAUACAGUGCAUAGCCCAUAUAAGGGCUUCCAUUUCUGCGUGUAGAGGCGUAAGACUUUGUCUUACAUUUUGUGCUCCCAUUAUUUUCUCUGGAACACCUUCCUUAAAAUAAAACCAUCCUAGACCCGUUACUGGCUCCAUAUCUUUCCACGAUCCAUCAAUAUAGCACCACCAGCCUUCAUAGACUAUUGGUAUUGACUAGCUUGUAUUAUGACCAAGAUCUACAUGUGUUAAUUCCUGUUCUGAAUUUUGAGCCUCUUCCCAUAAAUUCGCUUCUGUUUAAGCUAUUUUUAGCGUAGCCCGUGGGUCAAUAUCGAUAUUUGAGUACACUUUCUCGUUUCGAGCCUUCCAAAUAUACCAUGCGAUCCAUGGAAAUUGUAUGUUGUUUUCCUCUUUUGGAAGUCUCCAAAACAGAUGAUCAAAAUUCGAAAAAACCGAUGGCCCAGGAAAAACCCCUGGGGGUGUUGGAAUUCGUGAUAAUGCCCACGUUUGUAACGCAGGAGGGCAUUCAAACAGAACAUGAUUAAUUGUCUCUUCUGCUGCUCCACACCGUGCACAUUGUGUGUCACAUUGUAUUCCCCGAGUACGUAACCUAGCCGACACUGAUAGGCAACCAGAGAUUGCUUGCCAUAUAAAAUGUUGUAAUUUCGGCGCACAUUUCAAUUUCCAGGUAUAUGGUUGUAAAACUUUAAUAUCAGGGCCAAAUGAGACCUCUGAGAUCCUUUCUGAAAAAUAUCGUUCAGUUUUGUAUCCCGACUUUACCGUGUAUUGUCCAGAUUUUGUGAAGUGCCAGCCCAAUGAGUCUGGCCUAUAAGAUCUACUAAUGGAAAUUCCACGAAUAAUUUCCACAUCCUCUGGGUUGAUAAUGGCCUUUAUCAGUCCCAGAUUCCAUGAGUUUGUCACUGGGUCAAUCAGAUGAUUAACCAUAAGAUUCGGGUAAUAAUUAAACCCCUUACAAGUGGCUGAUCUUGGGCGAGAAGAAGGUAUCCAAGGAUCAUUCCAUACAGAGAUUAAACAUCCUGAACCAACUCUUUUGAUUAGCCCUUUUUUAACCAAAGAUCUAGCCGAGAUUAUGCUUCGCCAUCCAUACGACGGCGAGUAGGAUUUCGCUGUGUCCAAAGGACUUGAGUUCCGAAAAUAUCGUCCUUUGAAUACCUGUGUAAACAUGGAGGUUGGCCUGUCAAUCAGUCUCCAUAAUUGUUUUGCCAGUAAAGCCGUAUUAAAAUCCUCUACAUUUCGGAAACCGAUACCUCCUUCUGAUUUGUCUCUGCACAUUUUUCCCCACGCUACCCAGUGCAUACCUUUAUGAUGUCCAUCAGAGCUCCACCAAUAUCGUGCUGCUGCACUUGCUAGUUUUGCCGCAGUAGAUUUAGGUAAUCGAAAACAUGACAUGACGAAGGUAGGCAUUGCGGAUGCCACUGAUUUAAUCAGAACCUCUUUACCGCCUUUCGACAACAAACGUGAUGUCCAUCUAUUGAUCCGAUCAUGUUGUUUUUCAGCUACAAAAUUAAAGAUUUUUGUUUUGGCGCCACCUAGGCUUUCGGGGAUACCUAAAUAGGAACCUGUCCCUCCAUCACAAGAAAUUCCUAAAAUAUGUUUCAUAUCAUUUCUAAUGUCUUCCGAGACCAAAUGACCAAAUUGAACUGAAGAUUUAUCAAAAUUAAUUUGUUGUCCCGAGACCCUUUCAUACUGUUUCAGAAUAGCCAGAAUUUUCUAGCAUUCAUCUUUAUUUGCUUUACAAAAAAAUAAGUUGUCAUCCGCGAAAAGUAGAUGUGAGAUCGAUGGACUUGCUCGUGCAAUUUUUAGACCGGUCAAUAGUUUUUCCUCUUCAGCUUUCUUAAUAUUGGAAAUUAGAACCUCCGUACAUAGUAUAAAUAAAUAUGGAGAUAGAGGAUCCCCUUGACGGAGUCCCCUCCCUGGGAUUAUUUGUCCCUUUGGUUGUCCGUUUAAUAGAACUUUGUAUUUUACCGAGGUAAUACAUCGCAUGAUCAAUUUUAUCCAUUUCUCCGCAAAACCAAGUCGUUUCAAGAGAUCUUCUAUAAAAGCCCAUUCCACACGAUCAUAGGCUUUGCUCAUAUCCGUCUUUAUCGCCAUAUAUUUAUUUUUGCAUGAUUUAUUAGUUCGCAGGCCAUGAAACAUCUCUUGGGCUAUUAGAAUAUUAUCUGAAAUCAAUCGUCCUGCCACAAAAGCUGAUUGUGUUUCCGAGAUCAGGUCCGAUAAUAACCUUUUAAGUCUUUGACAGAGUACUUUAGAUAUAAUUUUGUAAGCUACAUUACACAGACUAAUAGGCCGUAGUUCAGUCAUUCGCGUUGGCCUUUCUGUUUUUGGGAUUAAACAGAUAUUUGUCAUAUUUAGACGUUCAUCAAAAACCCCUGUCUCCAAGAAUCCGUUGACUAACGUACAAGAUCCGCCUUGAUGAUAUGCCAUGAGCGUUGGUAGAAAAGUGCUGUCAUUCCGUCGGGUCCCGGAGCUUUUUCCGGAUGCAUCAUGAAAAGUGCUUUUUUAAUUUCCUCUUCGGAUGCCAUAGCCGUGAGCAUUGCAUUACUUAUCUCCGAUAUUGAUGGUUUAAUAUUUCCCAAUGCCUCAUCAAAUUCCGUUGGCGAAGUCGAGGUGAAUAAUUCAUCAAAAUAUUUAACAGCCACCUGCUCAACCUCUUUUUCUGAAGUAACCCAUGUUCCUGCUGCAUUAUUCAAACCAAUAAUUCGAUUCCGUGCUCUUCUUUGUUAACCAGUGCAUGAUAAAAUUUUGUAUUUUUAUCUCCUGCCUUCGCCCAAUGAGAGCGGCUUUUUUGUUGCCAAUAUAAUUCUUCAUCCCUAUAAGCUUCCUUCAACUUUUUUGUUACCGCCAUCAAUUCCUCCUCUGUUCUUGUAUCAUCAUUCUGAAUGUCUUCUAUUAUGUUUUUUAAUUCAUUAAUUCUUUCCUGCCCAUAUGGCUUAAGGGUUUUUCUCCAUUUAGAUAUUUCUCUUCUGCAAUUCCGUACUUUGUCCAUGAACUUCACUUCCCCAUCGCCCGGAUCGAAGUCCCAACCUUUGGAGAUAGAUUCCAUUAAACCCUCUUUUUCUAUCCACCUCUUAUCAAAACGGAAUUGAGUUUUUUUCCGUGUCAUUUUAUCCUCAAUUGUUGCCAUUAUUGGCCUAUGAUCUGAUCCAAUCAUUGCGAGAUACUCAACAAAGGAAUGUGAGAAAACCUCAUGCCAAUCUUCAUUCGCUAGAGCCCGGUCUAAACGACAUCUAACGACUUUUGAAUUUCGUCGUCCCCUCCAAGACAUCUUAUUUCCUAAACAUGGGAAUUCUAAAAAACCACAGUCCCUUAUCAUUAAAUUAAAAGACACAAAGGUAGAAGCAUGUCUUAACGGACCUCCUUGUUUUUCAUUAUUACCCGUUAUCUCGUUUAGAUCUCCAAUAAUGAACCAAGGAUCCGACCGUGUAAGACUCAUACGUGUUAAUCUUUCCCAGACUCUAUCCCGAUUUUUUGACACUGGAUCCCCGUAAAUAAACGAGAGGUACAUUUUUUUCCGAGAAUAGUCGCUUCAAUAUCAAUAAUCCGAUUAUUUGAAAAUAAAAUUGUGACAUCAAAAGAAUCAUUAUAAAAUAGGGCAAGUCCACCACUUGCACCGCACGGCUCAACCGUAUACAACUUAUUAUAACCAAAAUGAAACUGAAAUUUUUGUAAAAAAGAAAAAUCUUGUUUGGUUUCUGAGAGAAACAUAAACUCUUGUCUGUGUUUCUUCCAAACCUCCCGAAGAUAGCUUAUUGUCCAGCGAUUCCCAAGUCCUUGGCAAUUCCAGCUGAGAAUUCUCAUUUUUUAAUGCUUGUUUCCAAUUUCCGCCUCUCUUUCGGGUUUGAUGGACCCUUUGGAGCGCCAUGAGAGCUACCGUCUCCGUUACGGUUUAUGACUUUUGCCACCUGUUUCUUACGUGGUGAAAUUAGUGCUUGCACCAUUCUCUUCUUUGAGCCACCGCCUAAAAAUUUUGAGUUUGUCUUCGUGGCUUUCUUCUUUGUACCCUGUUUGGAACCUUCGUCAAAAACAUCAUUCUACUCCGCCAUUUGGAUAUCGCCUUCAUUGAUGUGCCCUUGUCCUGAUCCAUCUUGUACCACCGGUAUAGCCCCAUUUUCAUUUCCCACGAACUCUCCCUCUUCCUGAUCCAUGCCUCCAAACUCUGCAUCCAAAUUUAGUUGGAGCUCCCCUGUUUCCAAACCGCUGUUAACCUGUUGUAAGAACUCUUGUAUGGCAUCAUGAUUCUCUGGUUUUCCUUCUGGUUCUUUGUUUACUGUUUCUAAAACCGGUGCCUCCCUUUCCGUACUUAACAGUGCGUCCAUAACCCCAGUGGUCUCUUCCUCCGUAGUGUCAAAAUCAAGAAAGUCAUCACCCUCAAAAUCUAGACUCUUCCUUGCUGAUUUUUCACAAAGAGCCUCCACCGAAACCGACUGUUCCUCUUGUUUCUCUUCCUGCACCAACCGUUUCUCUCCUGGUUUUUCAUUUGGCACCUGAACGUUGCUCUCCCAAGACCUAUUACCUUGUGAUUCAAAGACCAAACUCUUUGAUCUUAAUGACCUCUUCUGAAAAUCCUUUGGAGGGAUGUAACCAUGUGACCUAAAGACCCUCGACGAGCCCUCACCAGACCUCCUUUCCAUUCUUUCCUUGUGUUGUCUUCCCUCCUCCAUCACCGUAUGUGACUUGCCGUUCCGUUUAAAGUUUCCACCGAGCUCCUUGUUGACACCGUAUGUUGUUGCUGUUCUAUACGAAGCCGGACUCUUACCAUUUUGUUCCUCAUCUAGCUGAUCUUCUCCUGGUCUCCUUCCAUCGCUAUUCACCCGAGUAGGACACCUCAGUUGAUCAUGACAGAGACUAUGACAGAUUCUACAGAAUCCAAAUAGACGCUCAUACCGCAAGAAAACCGUUGUCUCCUCUCCACCGUCAAACUCCACCGUUGUUUCAAAACACAGAGGUUUCAGGCCAUCGAUGAUCACCUGAACUUUUCCAUCAUCUACAUUCACCUCCUCAACCUUACCAAGAGCUUUCCCAAUGCUUCGGAAAGUAACAUCUGCCCAGUAAUGGAGAGGAACUCCAAUGAUGCGGAUCCAAAAUUUGAUCAUUGAAGGGUAAGUUGGAUCAAUAAUCGGAGCCCACCGAACAAGAGAUAGCAUCCAGUAAUCAAAAUGGAACGGUUCCAUUUUCAUCACCUCGAGGACAUCUUCUUCCUUAUCAAACAUGAACUGGAAUUUUCCCAUUCCCAAAUCUGCACCUGCAACUCUGUCCUCUACUUUCCAAAUCCGAGGAAGCAUGUACAGCAGCGCCUUCAUGUCUUGAAGAUGAGGAUUCAUACACCUCCCAAUCAAGGUACGUGAAUAUCCCUCAAUGAGACUGGUGUUGUCAAAUUUCGGGACCGUGAUCUUCAUCCGUUUCAGUGAAAUUGCAACCUUCUUCUCCAUACCAGCCUGACCGACUUGAGAUCCUUUAGCACCGAUUAGCACACCUUGAGACAUCUGCUCAAACCGAAUAAGUACCGCUUGACUGUGAGAAAGAGAGGAAACUUGAAAAAAGAAAAUUUGGACUCGAUGAAUGAGAGAGGGAUGGGUAAGGUUUGUGCCUCUCCGCUCCUCUUUAUAAUGUGUGAUCCUCCGACUUGUCUUUCUACAGAUGGAAUCAUGAUAUCUCAUCUGUGAUUCCUCUAUUAAUUUCCCCGAUGUCAUUUUUAUAUAGUUGAAAUCCUGAGAUCUCUUCUCCGUAUCAAUUCCUCUUGAUCCUGUUCUUAAACUUUCCUUCCCCGAAACCAAUCUCUGCUUCACUGUAUCGGGAGGGGUAUCUGUAAUAUUGAUUUCCGAAUCCCUCCAUGUAUAGCGUCUAGUUCCAUUCCCCUAACAAGAGACUCUUCCCGUACUUUGAAUAUCCGAAUUUCCUUUUCGUUUGAUUUGGUCAAUCCAGACCCAUCUCAAUCCCAUAAACUUCCAUGAGCUACCGCAAGAACUUAUUCCCCUUAUCUUAAUCAAAUCAGAAUGAAAAUACACAGAUCUUAAGUUCCAAAGCAAAUCACUUCUUUCCCCUAGAUCCUUUUGCGGAAACGAACCGAAUAUCCGUACUAGAUCUGUUUCCUCCACUAUAGAUUCAUCCUCCACCUUAAUUUCCAGAAAGACACCAUACAAACCGAUACUAGAUUCCAUCGCCAAAACAACCUCAUUUAGAUCCCGUAUAUCGUCGCCAUCCUUUUGCUGUUGAGAGAGAGAAUUUUUAGAGAUGAGUUUAUUUUUGUUCUUCGUAUUCUCCCUCAUUAGGGGUGUUUAGCAUGUCUGCCACUAUCAUAAUACUGAAUUCUGGUAUACAUUUAUGAUUUAAAAUUAGUGAUUUUAGCUACCAAAAUAUUUUUAAUUUGGUUUUUAUAUAUAUUUUUAGUUCUAUAAUUUAUUAAAAAUAUUUUUUUAAUAUUUGAAUUAUACAUUUGACUCUUACUUGUUAUUUUAUUAUUAAUUUAUAAAUAAAUCAUAAUCAUAAAUAUAUUAUAUAUUCAACAAAAAUAUCAUAUCAUUUACAUCAUCAUAAAUAUUUUAUAUUUCAAAUAUGAUCAUUAUUUUCUAUAUGUAAAUUAUAUCUUUUUGUGUAAACCCUAAACCCUUAAAUCAAAUCAAAUCUAAAUUUAAAAAAUGGGCAAUUUUCUAAAAUGGUCCCAAAAAACUAAAAUAUCUUUAAUAGAGUCCUUACUUUUUCAAUUGGACGAAUUUAGCAUUCAUUAAACUCGGAAACCACGAUUAAAAACAAACCCUUCCGACUGAAUUUACUCUAUAUUAAUGAUUGAUCAAAAAAUUAAAUUUAUAGCAUUGGUAAAUGAAUAAUUAGGCAACUAGCAAAGAGAAUAUUUUGUUUUACCCAUUACUAUCCUUCUCAUUUUAUUUAUUUACACAACUUGCCAUUAGUUAUUUUUCUUUGCAUAUGACAUUACUGUAGAUACUGUUCAUCAGCGCCAACACUAUUCAUCUAAAAGAAGAUAUCAUUCAUAACUGGAUAACAUAAUAUAUAUAGAAGUUAUCGCGAUAAGGUUGUGUUAAUUUUGUUAUCAUAUAAUAUAUUAACAUGUUAAUAAAUAUAUAUGUUAAUUGUAAGUGUUAACAUAUAUAUCUGAUAAUUGUAACGUGAUAAUUCUAGAUGCUAUAAUAAAAUAUUAACAUGUUAACAAUAAUAUCUGUUAAUUAUAAAGUGUUAACAAAAAUAAACGAUAAAUAUAUCAUGCUAACAAUAAUAUAAAGAUUAUAUUAAUAUUAACAUAUAAUUUAUAUAAAAUGCUAACAAUAAUAUCAGCAUAAUAUGUAUAUUAACAAUAUUUUUGUGUGGUCUAGCAGACAUCUCAAUUUCUCUUUUUAAAUAAUUUUGUCGGGUCUGAAAAUGUGGAUCCAUUUGAUUUGCUUUGAAAGGUAAAAGUAUUGUGGUUUUUUUACCGUGAAUAGUCUUGUGGGACCAGAGCCAAAAAGCUGUCUCUUAAUUUUGUAAAUAUCUAAUACUCUUUAGUGCAAUUACUCAACCCUUCCCUUCCAUAAUCCUUUGAUUGGCGACGAAGUACGCUCUUAUUCAUCGAUACGAAGGUCAGGCUAGUGGCAUCUCUGAUCUAGCUUGGUCCUUGGAUUCGCACUACACUUGCUCCGCUUCCAAUGAUUGCAACCUUCGAAUUAAAUCUGGGACACUCGAGCUCCGUACGAUUGCCUCAAGGUGCUUAGAGGCCACACUAAUUUCAUCUUCUACAUCCACUACAAGAAUACACGAAUUUAGCGACACCAGAAAACGUCGGAAAAUAGUCGCAAAUCGAAAAUUUACGUCUGAUUAGCGACUAAAAGAAGUAGUCGGGAAUUCUUAGUCGCUAAUUAAUACAGUCGUGAAAUAGUCGUAAUUUGGCGACUAUUUUACGACUAAAUUGCGUGUGAUAUAAACUGACGUAACGUAGUCGUAAAUCCGUCGGCAAAUAUAGUGACUAAUUUACGACUAAUUUUGCGACUCGUUUACGACUAAAAUGCAGUCGUAUUCUUAAUAUCAACGUAGUAGCAAUUUAGUCGUUAAAUAAGCAGUCGUUAUUUAGACGGUAAAUAAACGACCAUUUGACGACUGUUUUGUGACAUAUUUACCUACUUAUUUGUGACUGUUUCACUACUAUUGUCGGAAAAUGAACAGUACUUUGUUGCACUUUUACGACUGAAUUGUGACUGAUCUGUGACCUUUUUCCGACAAAUUUAAGACUGUUUAGUGACUAUUUUGAUCAUAGUUUUUGUAAUUUGGUAUUUGCUAUUUAGAAACUCCCAAUUUUGAAACCUGUUUAUAAACAGUGCUAUAAAAUGCUCAUUUGAAUACUAAAAUCAAGAUCAAUAUUUUAAAAGCCAAAAACCAAUACAUUCAUCAUCAUCAUUAAUUUAAACCCAAAAAAUCUCAAAUGGUUUCUAUAUACAACCAUUAUAGAGAAUACAAAAUGAGAAGAGACAUACUCUUCUAAAGUUUCCGAGACAUUAAAAAGAGUCUUAAUUAAGGUUCCGAGACAUAAAAAAAAAAGUGAGAAGAGACCUACACAUCUAAGGUGGUACUUGAUGUUUGAGUUACAUGUGUUGUCGGAUCAGCCGGCGGAUCAUCAGGUUGUUGAGUGGUAGACUUCGCAGCAUGAAUGGUCGAUGGAGGAGUUUGACUAGCCAAAAAAUCAUUGAACCGUGGAUCAGUUUGAGUCAAGUACCUUUCAACCAUGGUGAGCUUCUCGAUCUUGGCUUCUUGUGCAGCUGAAGCUUUGGCAAACUCUGCUUCACGCCUUGCAUUCUCAGCCGCUUGGAGCUCUAUUUGGUGUUGAGCUUGUUGAAGCUGUUCCUGCAGAGUGCCGUAGGAUGCAGAGCUUCCUGGGUACUUCCUCUUGCUAUUGACGUACAAGUGAGAGAGGCUACCAACUCCAUAAGGUACACCUCUUUCACUCAUAAUAGUCGACUGCGAAUACAAAAAAAAGAGUCAGACAUAUGAUUCAUUAAACUAAAACAAUGUUAGAAUCAAAGGAAAAGCAAGAUAAAUCCAUAAAAGAAUAGAGAACCUUACCUGUAGAAACAAGUCGUUCUGCUCUUCCACAGUUAGCUCUCGACGAGGUGAUGUACCCUCAGGAUUGUCUGAGCUUUCAGGGUUUAGGGCAGACAACUUGGCUUCCAAGUUUUUCUGGUAAGUCUCAGCCACUCUCUUUGCCUUUCCAUCCACAUAACUCCCAUCCUUUUUUGUGUGAGUCCUGAUGAAUACCUCACCAAGACUCACCGGUCUACCUAAUUCCUCUUCCUGAAAUUAUAAACCAAAAUAUGUCAGCGGGUAAGUUAUUAAUCAUAUUUCCUAAAACUAACACUUAUUGAAGAAUAACAGAAUAGAAAGUUACCAUUUCUUGCUGGAUUUGCAGAUAGGAUUUCUGUCCUGAGAAGUGAACGUGAGGUCCAAGACCACCACGUUCAGACAACCGAGCAGCUGAAGUUGUUGAACUCUUAUCUUUAGAUUUUUCUGUGUCCCAAUAGGCAGUCAUUUGUUCCCAGAGUGUAUCCCCGAUCCAGUUAGGUUGCACUCUUGAUGUCCUUACGGUGCUGACCAUAUCCUUCAUCCGGCUUUUGCAAAUGCUUUCAAAUUUUUCUUGAACCACACCAGUGAUCAAGGGAUCCCAGGUGUGGGUUUUCUACAACAACAAGAGACAAAGAGAUGAUGUUAGAAUAAGACAUAGUUACAAAAACAAAACAAAACCAUGUAAAUGAAAAAGGAUGAUCUUACCGCAAAUUCUAUGAAGUAACGCUCUUGUCUAUGACAACUCCAGCUGUAGAAAAGGCCAUCAAACUUGUUGGUGAAUACCUUGGUAAUCUUCCGGGUAAGAGAGGACUUGUCACGACCAAACCUGGAUACAAAGAAAACAAAGCAAGCAGUCAUCGAGCCAUCAUUUGAAGAAUGAAACAAAUGAAGCUAGAGUAAAAAAGACUUACCAUGUUGUACCCGGUUUCUCUAUGGGAGAUAGUACCGUAGUGUAAGCCUCUCUCCCAGGCUUCGUGAGCAAUGCAUUUAGAAGACUUAGCUGGUCUUCAGAGAGGUUGACAUCACCGUAUUCUUCAUCUGAAGGUUCUUGAAAUGCAGCUUCUUCACCGUCAUAAUGAGCUUGUUGAGAGUGUGGAGAAUUACCUCCUUCUUGAGAUAAUGGAGAGGCUCGGUUUUGAGAGAAAGAAGAAGCUCCAGAAGCUCCUUGGUGCUGCGAUUGAGGUAAUGCAGAAUGCUGCCGAUGAGAUUGCUCUUGCAACCGGUGUUGAGGAGAUGGAGAGAAUCGAGUUUGAGAAUGUUCUGACCUUCUAGGUUGAGGCGGUGGUUGAGACUCAGGUGCUCCUUGUUGCGAGUUCUGGAAGAGCUCCAUCGGCGGUGGAUAAUCUCUUACAUGUGUAGGGCCGUUGGUCGGGCCUAGCGGUGGUGGAGAUGUCGCCGGUAUGAACUCAUACCGACUGGGUAAGGGAGUCGAUGCUCGACUGGUUACGGCUGCUCCUCCUCGUGCUCCUCCGCGUUUCUUCCUUCCACGGCCACCCAUCGGAAUCACAGAAUCGGCUUGGGAACGAUGCUCAUCGGGAAUUUCGGGAUGGGUUUUUCGUCGGGAUCGAUUCAGGGUUUCGUCGGGAUGGGUUUUUCGUCGGGAUUGUCGGGAAUAGCGGUCGAUUAAGGAUGCUAGUAUCAAUUAACAGUCACUUUUGGUCGAAAUUGGGGAUUUGGGGAAGAGAAUGGAUUUGGGGAUGAAAUUAGGGUUAGGUUUUAGAAAGGAUUUGGGGAUUUCUCGUGAUUAAGGUUGAAAACGACUAAGUAUAUUAGUGGGCUUAGUCUAAAUAAUGGGCCUGAUAAUGGGAUUACACGUGGGCUUUGUUUGUGGGUUAAAUUUUGGGCUAUUAGUAGUAAAGGAGUCGGAAAUCAGUCGUAAAUUUUUAAUUUUUUUUUUUAAAAACAAACACAAUUUAUCUUACAAUACAACAAAUUCAUUCAGCAAUUUUAUUCAUAAACAGACACAUAUUAGUAAGGAUCCUCUUCAUCUUCAUCAUCAUCAUCAGAUGAUGACAAAUUACAUCUAAAUUCAUCUUCUGGUUCUGCAUCUCCGACAUCGUAAUCGAGAUUUAUUGGGUUUACCCUGUGUACUCGAUUUUCAACAACGAUAUCUUCAAUUGUGGUCAGCAUAACGCCAUCAUCAUUAUCUUGUUGCAAGAGAGUUGGUUCUUUGUCUUCUUAUUGUCCUGAAAUAUUCCCUCUUGGAUUCACUUUUAAGACGUUUAGCCACAGCUGCUUUAGUUUUUUCCGGUAUGGAUAUGGAAUAUAACAAACUUGAUCUGCUUGGGAGGCUGUAGAAUACAAAUAAAAUUAAAAACAAAAAACAUUAAAUGUAUUGCUUUAAUUUGUAUAUUCAAUUUAUAUCAUUUUUACCUAGAAUAAAUGGUUCGUAUUUAUUGUACUUUCUUGAUGAAAGAAUGUCAACGAGACCACCAUUGCUCCUUCGAGUGCCUCUACCAAUUACAGGGUCAUACCACUCACAUUUGAAAAGUGUAAUUUUCAGAUUUGUCAUCCCCUCAUACUCGAGUUGUAUGAUAUCAUUUAAGAUCCCGUAAAAAUCAGCUUCAUCAGAUGCAUCAGUGUAGUUUUCUCCUUUAACACACACUCCAAAGUUACAUGUCUUCCGUCCCAUGCCAUGGUGGCGUGUAUGAAACAAAUAUCCUCUCGUAAAGUAAAUUGGCCAGGUUUUGGCUUUAUUGACUGGUCCGUGAACCUGAACCCAAAUAGGAAAAGGGUUUGUAGUGUUCCAGUAAGUAACCUGCACAUAUACAGGGGCUUCACCUUCGUCAAAUCUUGUUAACCUUUCCCAUUACAUAAAAAUCAAUAUAAAUUCACAUGUUAAUGUAAAAUUAUCCUGUGGCCAAUAUUGACUUAUAAAUAUGAACUAUCCAUUUGGAGUUUACCUUGAUUUUGUUUGUAUAUGAUCGGGAAAGUAGUGCUCCGUAAAAUAAGCAAUCUCGUCGUUGAUAUAUGAUUCAACAAUCGAUCCUGAUGCAUAUCUUUUGUUCUUCGCUUUUGCUUUCAGUUUUUUGAAAAACCUUUCAAAAGGAUACAUCCACCUAUACUGCACAGGACCUCCUAAUUCAGCUUCAUAAGGAAGAUGUAUAGGCAAACGCUCCAUUACGUCGAAAAAUGAUGGUGGAAAAAUCUUCUCCAAAUUGCAUAAGAUUAGGACUAUGUUUUGUUUUAGGAUUUGGACCCUGUUUUUUUGCAAAGUUCUUGAACAUAAGUCACGAAAGAAUCCUCCAAUACCUAAAUAUAUUAAAGUCCAAUUAUAAAUAAAUUACUAUAAACAUAUAUUAUACAAGUACUAUUAAAUAGACUAUAAAGUACCUGAUAAUGCAAGGUGGACGUUACGGUCCAAGAGUUCUGCAAAGAUAAAUGGAAGUAGUCGUUCCAUAAAAACAUGGCAGUCAUGACUCUUCAUGCCGGCAAGCUUUACUUUUUCAAUAUCAACACAAGCAGCUAAGUCUGACGCAUAACCAUCUGGGAAUUGUACUGCUUUCACACAUUCCAAUAAUCUUCUUUUAUCAGCUUCUUCCAAUGUAUAUACCGGAAAAGGGGCUUGCCCAUUUUCAUCAACAUGUAAGUGUGCCCGAUCACAGAAUCGUUCUAUAUCCAAUCUUGACUUUAUAUUGUCUUUCGAUUUACCUGGCACACUCAUUAGAGUAUUCAUGAUGUUAUCAAAGAAAUUCUUCUCUAUAUGCAUCACAUCAAGAUUAUGUCGGAGAUUGAGGUCCCUCCAGUAAGGCAACUCCCAAAAUAUACUUUCUUUGUGCCAGUUAUGCCACUUCCCAUAUCCAGGCAUCUUUUUUUCAUGACCGUUGCCACCGCAGUCAGUCGUUUUUGCAGGAUUGACAGUUUCUAUGCGCUCACUAUAAACUUGUUCACUUGUCAAAGACUCUGGUGGUGACUCAUUUAUAGCUUGUCUACCCUUCAAAAAGUCUUUUCUAUUCUUUCGUAAUGGAUGACCAUGGGGGAGAAACCUUCUAUGACAAUCAAACCAACAUGUCUUUCUUCCAUUAGGCAGAUAGAAUGCCUUUGUAUCGUCCAAACAAAUUGGACAAGCCAAUCUACCAUGGGUCGUCCAUCCUGACAACAUGCCAUACGCGGGAAAGUCGCUUAUCGUCCACAUCAGCACAGCCUUUAAUUUGAAAUUCUGCUGCAAAGAUACAUCAUAUGCAUCGAUACCAGUUGACCAUAAUUCUUUUAAUUCCUCGACAAGAGGCCGGAGGAAGAUAUCGAGACUGGCACGCGGAUGAUUUGGCCCAGAAUUCAAUAUUGUGAGGAACAAGUACUCAGUCUUCAUGCACAUACCAGGGGGUAAAUUAUAAGGAGUCAAGAUCACAGGCCAUAACGAAUGAUUACGAGACAUGCCAAAUGGAUUGAAUCCAUCUGUACAUAAUCCAAGAUAAACGUUACGGGGUUCUUCAGCAAACCGGGGAUGUAAAUCUUGAAAAUAUUUCCACUCUGCAGCAUCAGAGGGAUGACACAUUUCACCCUCCUUUGCUUGGUGUUCAGCAUGCCAUCUCAUUGCCGCUGCAGUCUUCUGGCUCUGAUACAGCCUCUUCAAUCUAUCACCAAUAGGUAGAUACCACAUACGACUAUAUGGUAUUCUGGUUCGUGAACGUCGUCCUUCGUUAGGCUUAUAUCUUGGUGACUGACAGAAUUUACACUCCUCCCACAUUUCAUCUUCUUUCCAGAAGAUCAUACAAUUGUUAAUACAAACAUCAAUUUUGUGAAAUGGAAGCCCCAAAUUACCCAUCAAUUUCUCUGUCUCGUAAUGUGACCUGGUUGACUGAUUUCCUUCUGGUAAAUACUCCGUAAACAAAGAUGCCCACGAAUCCACACACUUUUCACUCAUAUUAUAAUCUACUUUAUUUUGCAUGAACCGAGCAGCUAAAGAUAACUGCGAGUGACCUUCAUGACAACCAUCAUAUAAUGGUUUUUUCCCAACUUCUAACAAGUCGUAAAAUUGUUGAGGAUGGUUACGCACCGGUUCUUGUACAUUCUGAUAACUAUCUUCUUGAUGAUAUGUAUCAUCUUGAUGAUAAUUACCAUGAAAUGCAUCAUUCACCAUAUCCACAUAUCUAUCUCCUACUACAUUACCCAUAUUUUCUUCACUCCAAUUUAAAUGAGUUAUAUUACCAUAACUAGUUCCAUAAUCCAUAGUAAUUUCUUCCCCAUGCUUAUACCAAAUAUAGUAAUCUGGUAUGAACCCUUUACUAAAGAGAUGGUUCCAAAUUUUUUUUCCCGGCAAAAAUUUAUUAUUUUUGCAAACACUACAAGGACAGUAAAAUUUACCGCCAUUACUCUGCGUUAGCGUCUGGUUGUUCGCAAAAUUGAUAAAUUGUUCUACUCCGGUUACAAAUUCCGAAUGGAAAUUUUCUGUUUCUUCGUCGAUCCGUUUAUACAUCCACUCUCUAUUAUUAUUAUUGUUACUGAAAUUUCCAGACAUUAUAUCUAGAAACGCUCUCCAGAAUUUCAGAGCUUUUAGAUUGUGAUUGUGAGUGAAUGAAAAGAAGAUGCGUGGAUCUGUAUAUAUAGAAAAUUUUACGACUAAUUUGCGACCGAUUUGCGUCUAAAUAGUGACUGCCGUGUUUUAGUCGCAAAAAACCGGUACACCUACCACAAAAGUUAAAACACGUGUUUUUUAUCAAGCGACUCGACAAAUACGUCGUACAUUGGUCGGUAAUUAACGACCAAAUUACGACUGUUUGUAUUUAAUACUAAUUAGCGACUGUUUGACGACUAUUGCUAGUUAAUCACUAUUUAGUCGGGGUGUAGUCGUUAAACAGUCGUAAAACGUUACGACUGUUAAAACAGUCGUAAAAUGCAGUCGCUAAUUUCAUGUUUUCUUGUAGUGAUCAAUUACAAUCCUCCGUCGAAUCUGAUUGUGUCCGGUUCAUUCGGCUAGACGAUUCGGAUCUGGAGGGUGAAAAUAGAUAAGCUCACCCUAUGCUAGUUAGGAGCGUGCACUUCAAUCGGGAUGGUUCGUUGAUUGUUUUGGGAAGCAAUGAUGGUUCUUGCAAAAUCUGGGAUGCCAAAGAAAGAACUUGCUUCAAGACUCCGAUUGAUGAUAAAUCUCAUGAUGUUUCCUUCGCCAAAUUCUCUCCUAAUGGGAAAUUUAUCCUUGUUGCCACUCUAGAUAGUACCCUCGUAAGUUGAAAAAUUCAGUUCCAAAUUUUGUAAUGUUAAAUUUGGUUUGAAUGAUCGCUUAGGCUAUGAACACACGAAAAGUAAAGAAUCUAACUCCUUGUUGGAUUAAUCUGUGAUAAAUUCUGAAUAUGAAUUGAAGAAUGUAGAGUUUUGGUUUGAAAGAUCAUUAGGUUCUGAAAUUUUACAUGAUUUAGAUUCAAACUGUUAUGGUUUUGUCUUUGAUGGGUUCUUGCAUUAGUCUUCUAUGUUUGAUCUUGAUCAUGAUUUAGAAGUUGUGAUCGACAGUAGCAGGAAACAAACAAAUAUUAACCAUAGAACUUAUGAUAUGCAGCUCUUCUCAUGAACUUUUGAUUGACAGUAGCUCUUCUUGUAGAUAUUUCAUUCUCUAAGAAAAGAAAAAAAAAGUGGCACGAUCAUUGAAUCUUGAUCUAAAGAGAUUGUGCCAAGAAACCAGCUGAGGCGUUAUUUUUGAUAGAAUGACCUUUCUAUGGUUAAAAUUUUAGGAAAUCUUUAUAAACAUUUAUGAAGGUUUCCCUAAAAGUUCAGAAAGACAUCCUAACUCUUUUAAAAAUGUCAGAAAUAUUUUAUUAAACAUUAGUAAAGCUUGUAAACCUAUAUUGAGUGGAAUUUCCUAAUCAUUUAGCAACCAUUCACAAACCCGUGUAUCUUCUAUGGUCUAUGCAUCACUUCUCUUCAAACUAUUUGUUUUUUUUUUUUUUUUUUUUUUGGGGUCAUCAGGUUUUAUGCUGAGAGCCUCUCGGAAGAAGAGAUUGCUGGUUUAAGAGAAUUGUUUCAGGCAAUGGAUAUUGAUAACAGCGGCGCUAUUAAGUUUGAUGAACUCAAAACUAGGCUGCGGAAAUAUGGAUCAACCUUGAAAGACACAGAUAUGCAUGAUCUAAUGGAAGCGGUAAAAUCUAAUCUCAUUUGGCUACAAAAUGAAAGUUAAUUAUUGUGUGUUUUCAGUGACGAGCUCUUGUAUUGGCAGGCUGAUGUGGAAAACAGUAGGACAAUUGAUUACAGUGAGUUCAUUGCAGAUACUAUCCAUAUAAACUAACUGGAGCAGGAAGAACAUCUUUUUUUUUUUUUUUUUUUUCUCUACCCAACUAUUACAAUCAUAUUUGACCUAUAAAAGAAAUGGUAUGUGGACCAUCUUCGACAGGUUCGUUAUGAUCGAUUUGGGAAAAAAUAACUCUUCUUGCUCGAGCUCCUUUUGCAAGACUAUCUGCCCGGACAUUUUAAGUUCUCGGAAUAUGGAAUAAGGUGAACUCUGAGAAGCUCUCGCGAAGUAGACGGAGGAAUUCCAACUCUGACAUAAAAGACGGCCAAUCUGCCGGAGAUUCACACAUGCUUACGAGGUCCGAACAGUCGGUCUGAAAAUGCACCAAAGUCAUUUGUCUAUCUCUUAGGCAUAACAUCGCCCAUAAGAAGCAAUCCAUUUCGGCGUGAAGAGCCGAGAGGCUUCUACGACAUCCCUGUAGUCCAAAAAUCUCAUUUCCUCUGCCAUCCUUAAAACUCUAACCAAGGCCGUUAACCUGUCCGUGAUUGAUCCAAGAAGCGUCAAUCCGGCAUACCGGGUGCGGUGGUACCUCAGGUAUCGAUAUCGUGGCCAGAAGGGGGGCCAACGCUUCAGCGUGUAUGUCAUCAUUGUCUUCAGGUUGGUUUGCUAAUCUCCAACUUUCUGCCUCCACCUUUGCGUGGAUCAAGGUGUCUUCUGGUGAAAUUUCUUUCCCCUUGAAGAUUUUCUCGUUCUUUGCUUUCCAAAUAAACCAUAGGAUCCAAGGAUAUACAUCCUUUUGAGGAUCUGUCAUGCCUUGCUCUUUUGUUUUCCAAAAGAGGAAUCUCAUAUUUUGAUAAAUAGAGGUACUCGGGAAGACACCCAGAAGGGACAAAAAGUCCGAUAACGCCCAGACUUGUAAGGCCGGGGGACAUAAAAACAGUAGAUGGUUAAUAGACUCCUCAGGAUCCCCACAGCGAGGGCAACGUUUGUCUGAGCCCAUAUGUCGGUAAAUGAGGUUCUGGCAUGUAGCAACGCACCCUGUGUUCGGACUUUCCAAACAUGUCGUUGGAGGACCGUAAUACUUGGUUCCCUCAUCGCUCCAGCUUCUUGUUCCAGCUUCGUCCUUCGAAUCAGAUCAUAUCCCGACUUAACUGAGUAAAGUCCCGAUUUGGAAUGAUUCCAUGCAUAUCUAUCCAAGGUACGGGUACGACUAGGUCUCAAUCCGAGGAUGAGGGAGACAUCCUCCGGUUGGAAAUAUUGUCUAAGUAAGGGGACGUCCCAUUGAUUUGAAUCUUGACGGAUAAAAGAGUACACCAAAGUCCCAGGGUUCUGGAAACCGAUCUGCGGGAUGGCUCUUGGCGGCCGAGCUCUAAGAUUCGGGAUCCACGGUUCGCGCCAAACUCUCGUAUUUAAAUCCGAGCCAAUCGUCUUCCUUAAUCCCAUCUUUAGGAACGGUUUUGCGGCUAUUAUACUCCGCCAUCCGUAGGAUGGUGAGUAGAAAUUUCGGUCCUCAAGGGGAUCGUAUUGUCUAUAAUAUCUGCCUUGUAAAACCCGAGCCAAGAGGGAUGAAGGGUACUGAAUAAGGCGCCAUAGCUGCUUAGCUAGAAGAGCUAAGUUAAAGUCUUGUAGGUCUCUAAAUCCAAGGCCUCCCAUAUCCUGGGGAAUGCAAAUUUUAUCCCAGGCAAUCCAGUGUAUCCUCCCGCUAUUCUGCUUUGAACUCCACCAAAAAUUAGCUAUAGCACUUUUCAGUUUGUCCGUCACUCCUUGAGAUAAUAGAAAGCAUGACAUGACAUAGGUUGGUAUCGCUUGUGCGACCGCUUUUAUUUGAAUUUCUUUUCCACCUUUGGAAAGAAGUCUUGCGGACCAAUUGUUGACACAGCUACUCAGGCGGUCAUGGACAUAGGAGAAUACUUUCUUUUUUGAUCCGCAGAUUUGUUCUGGGAGACCCAGAUACAUACCCAUGCCACCCUCUGAAGUUAUUCCGAUGGCAUUCUUAAUACCUUGCUUUAUAUUCAUAUCCACUCUAUUUCCGAACAUAAUCGAUGAUUUGCCCAGGUUGAGUUGUUGUCCUGAGGCUGAUCCAUAUGUAUUAAGAAUCCUGAAGAUCUCAGCUCCUUGCUGGAUAUCCGCUUUACAGAAAAAUAGACUAUCAUCAGCAAAUAGAAGAUGUGAAACUGGUGGACUUGCUUGAGCUACCUUCAGCCCAGAAAUACGUUUUUCAUUCUCUGCUCCAUAGAGUAGUGAUAUAAGAGCUUCAGUACAUAGGAUGACGAGAAAGGGAGAUAGAGGGUCUCCUUGCCGCAAACCUCUUGAUGGUAUGAUUUUUCCUUUUGGUUCUCCAUUUAUAAGGACUUGGUACGAAACCGAGGAAACGCAAAACAUCAAGAGUUUAACCCAUCUCUCUGAAAAUCCUAGCUUGAUCAUUAGGGUUUCAAGAAAGCUCCAUUCUACCCGAUCAUAUGCUUUACUCAUGUCUGUCUUGAUGGCCAUGAAGUUUUCUCGACAAACGGAGUUAGUACGAAGGGCAUGAAAAUUUUCUUGUGCCAACAAGAUAUUGUCUGUAAUGAGGCGGCGGGCCAUGAAGGCCGAUUGGGUCUCCGAAAUUAGGUUUGGUAAUGUUCUCUUUAGUCUUUUACACAUAAGCUUAGAAAUAAUCUUAUAGCUUACAUUACAAAGACUAAUCGGUCGGAAUUCCGUCAUUGCUCUUGGCUUUUCGUUUUUGGGGAUCAGACAUAUGUUAGUCUGAUUAAGUCUAGGAUCAAAAGAUCCUGAAGCGAAAAAAUCUUUCACUAAUUUUACUAUGUCAUGGCGAAAAUCAUGCCAGAAUUUUUGAUAAAAUUUACUCGUCAUUCCAUCCGGACCGGAGGCUUUAUCUGGGUUAAUAUCAAAAAGGGCUUCCUUAAUCUCUGCUUCUGAAGGAUCCUUUACAAGGAGUUGAUUAGAGGUGUCUGUAACUUUCUCGGUUAUAUACCAGAGUGCGUUCUCUGGAUCUGAGGGCUGAGAUGAUGUGAACAGAUCUUGGAAGUAUCGUGAGGCCACCCGUUCAAUACCUCUUGCAUUUUCCACCCAGUGUCCAUUACUAUCCUUCAAGGCAAUGAUACGGUUCCGACUUCUCCUUUGUUUAGUAAGGGCAUGAAAAAAUUUUGUGUUCUUAUCCCCUUCCUUAUGCCAGCGCUCCCGACUUUUCUGUUGCCAAAAAAUUUCUUCCUCACAAAACGCUAAGCAGAGUUUUCUUCUGAUCUCUUCAAUUUCUUCUGUUGUUGUGUUCUCAUCGUCUUGUGCUUCAUCUAGCUCCUUCUUCAAAGUCUCGAUCAUCGUCUCCGAGUUAGUUGGGAGAGAUUUCUUCCAAAUGGAGAUGUUCCUGCGACAAUUUGCAAUCUUUUGGUGGAAAUCCCGACGUGAGAUUCCAUCAGAAGAGCCCCAUCCAGUAAUAACCGCUUCUUUAAAUCUCGGCUUUCCAAGCCAUCUUUUAUCAAAGCUAAAUAAUUUUUUCUUUUGUUGGUUAUCUAUUCUUAUCAUGGCUAAAACCGGUUGAUGAUCUGAUCCCCAUAGUUGGAGAUACUCCACAGAACUGUAGGAGAAUUUUGAAUGCCAAUCUUCGUUCCCGAUGGCUCUAUCUAGACGGCAUUUGACUUUGCCCGAGCGCCUCCUUCCAACCCAUGAGAAUAGUUACCCUUAAACGGGAAUUCAAGCAUACCACAGUUGUCGAGCAUAGUUCGGAAGGGUAUGAAAGAGUAUUCAGGUCUCCUACGCCCUCCCCGUUUUUCAUGAUUUCCGGUAAUAUCAUUAAAAUCUCCUAUCAUAAACCAGGCUUCUUUUCUAUGGAGGCUCAACCGAGUGAGACGCUCCCAAACAUUCUCUCGGUUUUUUACUACCGGAUCUCCGUAGACGAAUAUCAUAAAAAUUUUGUGUCCGUCUAGAGUAGUUUCUACAUCGAUCAAAUGUUCAUCCGAAUAAGAAAUAGAAACCGCAGGUUCAUCCAUAUAAAAAAGAGCUAGACCGCCGCUUCGACCUCUCGGCUCAACGGUACAAACAUGGUCAUAGCCAAAGUACACUUGCAUAUCUUGCAUAAAAAACGAUUGUUCUUAGUUUUUGACAAAAAUAAAAAACGAGGCUUAAAACAGUAAAAAAGUUCUUCUAAAUGCUCUUUCGUCAAGUCGGCUCCCGCCCCUUGACAGUUCCAUCCUAUGAAAUUCAUUUUGGGCGAUUUUCUGGCUUCUGGGCUCCACCUGUACCAGAAGAUGAGGAUUUUUUGGCCUUUUGGGCCUUUGAAUUUUUGUCACCCUUAGCCUUCUCACUUUGCUCCUUGCUUGGUCUUGGGCCCAACUCUGCUUUCUUCCCUUUUGCUUUUCCUUUUGGUGAAAUGCGGCCCAAAAGAUUUUUUUUUCAGAGAGAUUCCAGGGUUCGCCGGCGAUCUCGGGAUCGAUUUCUUCUUCCCAUUAUUCCGGCCAUGUUUUGCGACACCCGCACCCGACUCCAGACCCGCAUCAGGUUUUAUCGGGCUUCUCCACCAAGAGGCAACUUGUCUCCCUUGAGCAGGAAGAACAUCUUGUCGCUAGGUUUUAAUACUUUGACAGACGGAAGCGCUUCCUAAAACAUUAGGAAAAACUUUGUAAACCUUUUUAAUAUUAAUGGUUUCUCUAAACUCUUAAGAAAUAUUCAUAUAUAAUUCAUAAAUUUUUGAAAAAAACUUUCAUAAAUCCUUUUAGUUAGACUUUUUAUCAUUUAGGAAAGCGUUCCGUAAAGUUUAAAAUGGCUUCCUAAAUCAUUAGAAAUUUUAAUGUUCAAAAAAAUCAUUAGAAAUGCUCUGCAAACCUAUUAGUGUUUCUAGAGGUUUUGAAACUCUUAGGAAACGUAUAUAAACCCUUCAUAAAAUUCGUAAUAAGAAUUUCUUAACAUUUAGAAAAGCAUUCCUAAAAAUUUAUAAAAGCUUUCUAAAACGUUGAAAAGCUUCUUAGAGCAUUAGAAAUGCUUUGUAAAUCUUUUGAAAUUUCGAGGGUUUAAAAAUCUCUUGAGAAAACUCCUUGAGAAACCCUUGAAAGAAACAUUCUUCAAAAUUUAGGUGGUCAUUUUCUUGUUUCUUGAUUAUGAAAGAAGACAUUCCUAAAUUUGUAUGAACCUUUUCCAAUAUUUAUAGAUGCUUCCUAAAUUUAGAGUUUCGGAAGCCUUCUUACUUUUUAGGAAUCAUUUUUACAAAUUUAAGAAUGCCCUCCUAAAUCGUAUAUUAACCAAUUCAUAUUAAGUUCACAUUUUAGGAUCAGAAGACAUUCUUCUGAUUAGCUAAACAAAUAUUGUUUGAAGCUUGGGGAAUACGGGCUUCGGGCCCAGAACCUCUUGGUAAUCCAAAAAAAAAUAUAGAUAUAUUGUUUGAAUAAACAAAAAAGAGAAUCAUGCGAUGAAGUGGAUGGGACUACGAGCAGUCGAGCAAGAUUCAAUUCGCAUUCAGCUGCGAGGAAAAUAACAUGAUACUUGAGUUGCGGAGUACGAACUUUUGAGUAGUGGAAGUUAGGGCUGGAAUUAUUAUCCGGUAUCCGGUAUCCGGUAUCCGAUCCGGUAUCCGGUCCUAUCUGAUACGUAAAAACCAAAUAUCCGUGUAGUUCGGAUCCGGAUCCGGAUAGUGAAAUUAAAUAUUCGUUUAUUUCUGAUACGGAUCCGGAUAAUAGAAAAUUUUGAAACCGGAUAUCCAUUAUCCGUUUGUUAAAUAUUUAUUUAUUUUUAGUAAUAUUUAUUCAUUUUUUAAAAUUAACUUUAGAAUUAUUUUUGGUUUAACUCCUUUACAUAUGAUUGAAAUUCAUAUUGUGUGAUAAUUUUCUAUUUUAGAUUGUGAGAUAAGAACAUAAAAAUGGAUAGCAUAUAGAAAUGAAGAUAAAUUAACUUCUCUAUUACUAUUUUCUUUUUUGUUAUGUAAACUCUUAAACUUUAUGCUAUUUGAAUUUACUUGAAUGUUUUUUAGUUUUUGCUAUUUGUAACUUACUAUGAUGAUACAUUUUAAUUAUAUAUGUUAUCUUAUUAUAACUUAUAAAAAAUUAAAAAAAAAAAUCAACGAAACCACCGGAUAUCCGGAGUUUUCGGAUCCGGAUCCGGAUAGUAAAACUGAUUAUUCAGUGGAUCCGGAUCCGGAUCCGGAUAUCUUAAAAAUUCCGGAUAUCCGGCUCCGUUCCAGGCCUAGUGGAAGCAGCAAGUAUUAUGUCAUUUUCAAACGAAUUAAAAGUCGGUUUAGUUAUCAAACCAAAUUUACAAUUGGAAGGGGGUUUAGAAUCAUAAUUUGAAUCUUUUCACGGUGGUGGGGGUUUAGAACCCUCAUUUUGAAUCUACCUAGUUCGUCUUCUUCUAAUUUAUCUCCUGUCAGAUUCUGAUAUUUUUAUCUCUGAGCUCAAUUUACAAAUUCAUAUUCCGGUUUACAAAAUAAAAACAAGCCAGUGGUCAAAUGUCUUUGGUCUUUAAGCAUUUUGCUUUCAGAUGUAUAAAGAAGGGAUUUGUUUCUUCCUCCAGGCUCCAUAGAUAUCUUAUCCAAAGCUACUGUGAUAGAUACUUUCUUCAACCUCUCUGUUUACUCUCUCUCUCUCUCUCUCUCAGUCUCUAGUCAAAGCCAGUGGUCCUCUCCUCGGCGGCUAUAACAACAAAAGAAAACAAACUUUUGAAACAAGCCAGUAGUUUCCACUACAGUUCUCAUACAAAUUCCUUUGAAUUUUCCUCUCCUCUUUACCCGUUUGGCUUAUAUAUAUGAACUAAGAAAGCUUGUUUCCUCAAACCACUGCUAUACUUUCUUCAAACUCUCUUUUGCUCUAUCUCUCUCAUGGCUUCUUCUUCUCCUCCUUCUCCUUGUGCUUAUAUUAAGAGAUACGAUGUCUUUCCAAGCUUCAACGGGCCAGAUGUUCGUAAAGGACUCCUCAGUCAUUUACACGAUCACUUUUUAAGGAAGGAAAUCAAAAUGUACAAGGAUGAUAAGAUGGAGAGAUGCCAACGAUCAAACGUGAACUCGUGAAAGCGAUUAGAGAAUCGAGGGUCUUGAUGGUUUUGCUCUCGAAAAACUACGCUUCUUCGAGCUGGUGUUUGGACGAACUGGUGGAAAUCUUGAAGUGCAGAAAAGAUAAGGAACAGAUUGUGAUGCCUAUUUUCUACGACCUUGAUCCGUUCCAUGUACGCACACAGAGCGGUGACUUCGGAAGCGCGUUCGAGAAAACCUGCGAAAACCAAACAGAGGAAGUGAAGCAGAGAUGGGUCGAAGCUUUGAAAUGUGUAACGACCAUAGCUGGAGAACAUUCUCGUAACUGGUUUGUUUUAACCUGCAUAACUUCUUUCGUGAUUCAACCAUAGCUGGAGUUUCUAUAAUUUAUUAAGAUUUUGUUUUUUUUUUCAGGACUGAUGAUGCUGAGAUGGUCCAAAAGCUUUGCACAGAAGUCUCGAACAAACUGAAAGUGGAAGAGUCUAAGGAAGAAUUUAGGAAGUACGAUGUAGACAAUAAUGGUUUCAUAACUGCAGCAGAGCUUCCACGAUGUGUGUUGAUAAAAGAUGGAGAAGAAUCUACUGAUAAGCAAGUUCGUAGUAUCAUCCGAGUAGUUGAUAUUGAUGGCGAUGGUCAGAUCAACUUUGAUGAAUUUGUCGAACUCAUGGCUCUUAGGUAAGGGAUUCUUGAAAGCCUUAACCUCAAAGAAACAAAAAGAAAAACGAUUUAUGAUGUCUUACAGUGAAAUCUUAUCAUAUGAUUUAGAACGCUUUUGUCUCUCUUAAUCAAUGAUUCAAUAGUGGAGUUUCUAUAGUCUAAUAACAUUCUGUUUUUUUUUUUUUUUUCUUAGGAUGACUGAUAAGAAGCUUUACACGGACCAAGUGAAAGCGGAAAUGAUGAAGGAAGGCUUUAGGGAAUGCGAUGUAGACCAGAAUGGUUACAUAACUGCACCAGAGCUUCGAUAUGUGCUGACAAAAGAUGGGGAGGAAUUUACCGAUAAGCAAGUUCGUAAGAUCAUCCGAAAAGCUGAUGUUAAUGGCGGUGAUCAGCUCAACUGUGAUGAAUUCUUCAAAUUCAUGAAUCUCAUGAUGGAUGCGUAAGGGAUUCUUAAGCCUUAACCUCAUGGAUAAAAAAAAAGGAUUUAUGAAUUAUGAUGUCUUACAGUGAAAAUAUUUUAACGCCUUUUUGUUUCUUAAUCUAAUCUAUAAGAUUCUGUUUUUUUUUUCUUUUGUUAGAAAGAGGAUGACUGAUGAAAGAGCUGCGAGAGUCGAAAAGAUUGCCUCAUAUGUAUCGAACAAACUGGAUAAAUUCGCCAUAUAUAUUCAUGAUAAAAGCCUUCUCCUGAAGAAGAAAAGAAAAACGAUUUAUGAAUGUCUUACAGUGUGAAUUUUCAUCAUGAUAUGAUCCUGAUUGUCUUCUUUAGGACAUGUUUUUUUUACUUCUUUCCACCUUCGAUUUGGUUGCUUUGUUAAUCUCUUUAAUUAGUGUUAUGUCAAGUAUGAUGAACUCAUGUUUUGCUCCUCCUAGUGACAAUUGAUUUUAUCUCUUUUUUUUGUUUUUCCUAUUUAGAUAUGAGAGAUUGUAUUGGGAUAUUCAUAUGCUCAAAGUUUAAUUCCUAGAGCUACUCUGCAAGAGCACAGAUGUGCAAUUGUAGUAUAAUAGGGGUAGAACCACAGAGACAAGAGAUUCGCUCAAUAAACCUAUUAGAAAUUGAAUUACGCUAAGCAGAUUAAUGAGAAGCAAAUAGCAAUGCAAAUAAAGAUAAACGAAUGCAGUAAAAACGUUUGUAAAGUUCAGAUGGAUGGAGAUUAGGCUUAGGGCGUUUCUCAUGAAAUCAAUGCAUGCAGAUCAAUCGAUAAAUCAGGGUUCAGGUUUAAGCAUGGUUCUUGAACUCGAAUCACAGAAUUAUAAUUAACCAACUUCCAUUGUGAGAAUUAUCUAAGUUAAAAUCCUAGAAUUCCAAAUUCCUUUGCAAACCCUAAAGAUUUAAACCAGCUUUAAUGCUCAAGUUCGAUAUGUUCACAAAGUAUCUAAACCAAAUUCCUUUGCGAAUAGCUACUUUGCUCACCCUAGGUUCUUUCCAGUUACUCAAUUACACUUCCGUGUCAAUCAAUUAACCUAAGAUUUAAGUUCUAGGUGGCCAGUCCAGAAUUAGCUUUAAGAACAACCUAUGGUGAAGAACUAAAUAGAUUAUGAACCCUAAUUAAUCAAUCAAUCCAACAUCCAAUGAAAUCCUUUAUGAGAACCCUAAACCUAACAAGCAAACUACUCAGACAUGGAGAUUGAAGCAAUAAACAUGAUUGAAUAGCUUGCAGAAAAGAAAUAAUAGAUAAAUAAACAGGGGUUCGAAAUCUUCUCUAUCCCCAAAAGCUCUCAAAAACAAAAGUUCUCUCUCAGAAAAUCUAAGGUAAUCGUAAAAAGGGAAUAAAAACCCUAUAUAUAUCUCUAAGACACGUUUUGGGCUUCCUUGGAAACGUUUAGGCCCAACUCCUUCUUCAAAUAGGAAACAAAAUCGCCUUUUCCUUAUUUUUUGACAAGUGUCGCGCGUCACUCUCCAUGGUGUCGAGCGUCACUAAAGAACAAAAUCCAUUCUUGACGAAUUUGAUCCUGAUUAAGCUCCAAAGUGCUCCAAAGUCUCCAGUUAAGCUCCAAACGUACCUAUGACCUGAAAAGAUCCCAAAAGACUCGAAAGACACUAAAAAGACUCUAUAAAUAAGACAUAUACCAUGGUCAAAAACCAUAAAAACCAUGAUAUAUCAACUCCCCCAGACUUAGCAUUUGCUUGCCCUCAAGCAAACAUAACACCAAACAAGAGAAAGAAGUUUGAAAACACAGAGACUCAACCUUUCAUUGGAACAUCGCCCUUGACCAAUUGCCUGCAACUCAACUACUGCUUCAUCAUUCCAAAUCGAACCACCAUGUACUUCUCCGUAGACAUUCUCAGCAUUCCAGAUUAAGUCCAAAAUUCCACAACAUUGUCCAUAAACUCUCAUCGCUGGAUCUCACUGAUGAUUUAGAUGCCAAGAACCUUCUAGAUUCUUUCCCGUACUAUACUCAAGCAAAUCAUCCAUACACACUUUGGUACUUUUCUCUCCCCCAGACUUAUUCUUUUCGCACACUCAUCAUCAUUUUUUUAUGGCAUAUACUCGAUAAGGGUAAAGCUGCGAGUACUGAUGGUGUUUGCCAUCGAGUCCCCGAGUUGUCCCCUUAUCUUGUAUCAAAGGUUUUCAGCGAAUAGUGGGGUCAUGGGAAACAUUCCUACCCCUCACUUCCUUCCUUUGUGUGAUCAUUCCAACUUAGAAGUGAAAUAAUGGGAUCAUUGGAAACAUUCCUAGCCUUUUUUCUUUCUUUCUUCUUUUUCCUAGCUCGUCACAAGGGAGAGAAAUACCAACAUUAAAUUUUACACAGGCUUUCAUUGAUCAAGUAUGAACGAGGAAUCAAGCUCUGAGGCAUUAGUCACAUCAACGAGUUAAAAGUGAAGUUUAGAACUUAGUUCAGGUUAGUGGAUUCUGUUGGAAACAUGGACGCCUCUAGUCAGCUGGUCAGCCUUUGGAUUUUUCAUUAGUCGGAUCUAGACUGAAUCUGCAGCAGUGGUCACUUAGGUGAAAGGUCAGCACAAUAAUUUCAGGAAAAGCAUCAUGAUCUCCAACAGGUUUUGACUCAAAAACGUUUUGACACAACUGACUCUUAAGAAAAACAAACACAAUGUCAGCAACUACCUCCCCCAGACUUGAAUAACACUGUCCCCAGUGUUAUCGAGUCCGAAGUUGGUGAAACAAAAAAAAGAAACAGAGAAACACAAGAAAAACGAAGAACUUACCUGGCUGCAGUGAUGGUGACGCGCGACACUGAUGAUGGUGUCGUGCGACACUUGUUCUCCUCGUACCGAAUUGCAGCAAACCAAUCUGAAUUUCUGGUUUGACUCCGGUUGCCCGAUUUCCUUUUUUUUUUUUUUUUUUUUUGAUGAAUAGCAAGUGACAGGCGACACCGAAGGUGGUGUCGCUCGACACCAGUCCUGUUUCACCUAAAACACGAAAAAGAAAAACGAAAAUCAACUGAAACAAAAGGCUUAUUUACAGACUCACCAGUGGAUUGCCUUCCACCAAGCGCUUGUUUUAAGUCAUUAGCUUGACUAUGGAUAGACUAUGCAUCUGGUGGAUCAGACAGUGGCAAAGAGUGCCUCUGUGAAAUUCGUCUCAUCCAUGGUGGUGUGUAAGCGUUUUGCGCAUGAGGUCGUCCAAGGAAUGCAGGAAUAACACCAGGGUGAGAUCUGUGUUUGGGUGACCUUGACCUAUUCUUUGGUGGAGAUGAAUAGAACGUGAUGUUGUGAGCUUCCUGUGCAUUAGCAGCUACUGGUUCUGUAGACGUCUUAGUCAACUCAGGUUGAUCUUUCACCUUCUCAGCAUCAAACACGUUCUGAUCUCCCACUAUCACUUCAGGUAUUGCACUGACUUGGAAUGUCUGACCAUCUAUGGUUGAAUCCUUUAGCUUCUCCAUCUUGAAAGACAUGAUGGUAUCUCCUAGGUGGAGAUCAAGGUUACCAUGCUUGACAUCAAUUACUGCUCCAGCUGUAGCUAAAAACGAUCUUCCCAGGAUAAGAGGAUCUUUGGGUUCCUCUUCAUAUUCCAGAACCACGAAAUCUGUAGGAAUUAUGCAAUCACCAACUUUAAUCGGAACAUCCUCCAAGACACCUUUUGGGAUUCUUUUAGAUCGAUCUGCUAGGAUUAGAGAGAUAUUAGUUGGCUUGAAGUCAGUCAUCCCAAGGCUAACAGCUACAUAGUAAGGCAUUAGGUUGACACUCGAACCAAGAUCACACAGCGAUCUCUUGAACCUCUCAGAGAAGAUAGAGCAGUCCAAAACAAAGCUUCCUGGGUCCGAGAGUUUCUCUGGAAUCUUAUUCUGAAUCACAGCACUGACCUGUUCAGAAAUCAUCAUCACUCCUUCCUCAUGACUCAGAUUAUUAGUCACCAUUCUCUUCACAUAGUGUCUGAGAGUAGGAGCAAUCUUCACAGCAUCAACCAAAGGAAUCUCAAUAACAAGUUUCUCCAUCAAAGUCUUGCAUCUGGCAUCAUCUAUCUCCUGCUUGGACUUCCUAGGACUCCUUGGGUAAGGAACCUUAGGUUUGUAAACCUUUUCCUCAGCAGAUUUCGAACUUUGAGCAAUAUCAGCUUUGCUCUGCAAUUGGUGACGCGCGACACUGGUUGUGGUGUCGCUCGACACCGGCUCUGCAGUUUCGAAAUUUUCUUCAGAUUCGUCAAACUCCACGAUUUCAUCCUCAGAAACACCCUUUUUAAGCACUUGAGUCAACUUUUUACCACUCCUUAACGAGAUAGCACUGCAGUAAUGCCUAGGAUUGAUAUCAGUCUUCCCAGUAAGGAAUCCUUCUUGCCUUUUUACAGACUCUGCAGUCUGAGCAACCUGAGUAUCAAGCUUCUUGACAUGAGUGUUCAGAACUUCAAUUUUUCUAUUCAGAUCCAGAUACAGAGCAUCAAUCUUCCCAUUGAAAUCCACAGUCAUCUUCUGCUGACCUUCCAGUAUCUGUUCCAGCAUAGACUUCACCUCAUUAUCAGGAGUUUGAGUAGGAGGAGAACCAUAGUUCCUUGAAAACCUGUUGUUGGAGUAGGAUGUCUGGUACUGAGGUUUGGAGCUGUAACCAGAAGAGUUCUGAUUACCUGUGAAGGUACUCCUCUGAUUAUUUCCAUUGUGAUUCGUGUUCCCUUGCCCAGAACCAAAUCUCUGACCCCGAAAUCCAGCUCCAUUGAUAAAGUUAACAUCCUCUUCCUCAAGUGCUUCAUCUGGUUCGAAAUUCUUAACCUCUGCAGCGUAUCGAACGGACUUCUUACCCACUAGAAGGCUAUGCACAGAGUCAAGCUUAGCCUUCACCUCAGCAAUCUGCGAUCCAUCCAUGUUUCUAGCCUGCUUCCUUCGCUGAUAGUCUGCAUUCUUGGUUCUAGAAUGAUAAAUCGAUUAUGAAUUUAGAACACAAAGUUUAAGAAUAACUCUCUUAUUGCUUUAGAAAACUGACUCAAAAACUAAAGCUCUCAAACUCUGAUAAGUGAAACCACAACUUUGGUAACUCCUUAUAUAGAGAAAGAUUUAGACAACUUCCUAAACCUAAUGGAAUUUAGAUUACUCCUAAUUUCCUUUUCUCUUUAAUCCUAACUCUUAUAGGAAACUUUACUUAAGAAGAUUCUGGAAGCUUGCUCUUCAAGCUUACUCCAACAUUGGUACUAUUGCUAGAUGCCAAGUUCUCAAUGAGCACAACAGCAUCUUCUGGGUACCUGGUGUUGAAGUUCCCAUUGCUUGCAGCAUCAAGAGCCAUCUGAUAUCUCCAAUCAACACCUCUGAAGAAAAUACCCAACAGCUGAACAUCACUGAAACCAUGAUGAGGGCAAUCUCGCUGGUACGACUUGAAUCUCACCCAAGCAGCUUUGAACGCUUCAGUUGGUUCCUGAGAAAAAGUCGAAAUUUUCGUCCUCAACUCCUCAGAUCUAGCAUCAUCGAAGAAGUUGUGCAGGAAAGCAUUCCUGGUCUCUUCCCAAAUAGUGAGUGAUCCUGGCUCCAACUGCUUCAACCAGUUAGCUGCUUCUCCAGCAAGAGAGUAAGGAAACAGCUUGCAGAGGAGGAAAUCAUUGGACACUCCAUUGUAUUUGAUGCUGGUGACCAAGUCCUCAAACCUCUCGAUGUGAUCCAUAGGGUGCUCAUGAGAAAGACCAUGGAAAGGAUGCUGACCCACAAGAGUGUAAUACACAGGCUUGAGCUCAAAAUCAUUCCUCUGAAACGCAGGAGCGCGAAUCGCAGACCGAUUUGCAUAGAAUUGCUCAGGCCUGUUGUAGUCACCCAGCGUCCUGAUGAUGUUACCCUGUCCAUCAAGUCGCUGGCCUCUCUCAUUGCACACAUGACCCUCUUGGUCUCUCCAGACUCCAGCAUCAUCACGAAUCAAUGCCAAUGCGUUCUCCAUCUUUGCUAGUUUCUGAGACAAAGAGAAAGAACAAUGUAAGUAACAAAGCAAAAAUAAAAUAAAGAAAAACAACGGGUGUCGCGCGACACCAAUGCUGGUGUCGCUCGACACUAAGAAAAACUUAGUCGAAACUCAAGAACUAAAGUUUAAUGGCGAAAAUCAAGUCUCGGGCAACGGCGCCAAAACUUGAUCUGCUCAAAGUUUAAUCCUUAGAGCUACUCUGCAAGAGCACAAAUGUGCAAUUGUAGUAUAAUAGGGGUCGAACCACAGAGACGAGAGAUUCGCUCAAUAAACCUAUUAGAAAUUGAAUUACGCUAAGCAGAUUAAUGAGAAGCAAAUAGCAAUGCAAAUAAAGAUAAACGAAUGCAGUAAAAACGUUUGUAAAGUUCAGAUGGGUGGAGAUUAGGCUUAGGGCGUUUCUCAGGAAAUCAAUGCAUGCAGAUCAAUCGAUAAAUCAGGGUUCAGGUUUAAGCACGGUUCUUGAACUCGAAUCACAGAAUUAUAAUUAACCAACUUCCGUUGUGAGAAUUAUCUAAGUUAAAAUCCUAGAAUUCCAAAUUCCUUUGCAAACCCUAAAGAUUUAAACCAGCUUUAAUGCUCAAGUUCGAUAUGUUCACAAAGUAUCUAAACCAAAUUCCUUUGCAAAUAGCUACUUUGCUCACCCUAGGUUCUUUCCAGUUAUUCAAUUACACUUCCGUGUCAAUCAAUUAACCUAAGAUCUAAGUUCUAGGUGGCCAGUCCAGAAUUAGCUUUAAGAACAACUUAUGGUGAAGAACUAAAUAGAUUAUGAACCCUAAUUAAUCAAUCAAUCCAACAUCCAAUGAAAUCCUUUAUGAGAACCCUAAACCUAACAAGCAAACUACUCAGACAUGGAGAUUGAAGCAAUAAACAUGAUUGAAUAGCUUGCAGAAAAGAAAUAAUAGAUAAAUAAACAGGGGUUCGAAAUCUUCUCUCUCCGGAACAGAGUUUCAGACUUGUCUCCCCAAAAGCUCUCAAAAACAAAAGUUCUCUCUCAGAAAAUCUAAGGUAAUCGUAAAAAGGGAAUAAAAACCCUAUAUAUAUAUCUCUAAGACACGUUUUGGGCUUCCUUGGAAACGUUUAGGCCCAACUCUUUCUUCAAAUAGGAAACAAAAUCGCUUUUUCCUUAUUUUUUGACAAGUGUCGCACGUCACUCUCCAUGGUGUCGAGCGUCACUAAAGCACAAAAUCCAUUCUUGACGAAUUUGAUCCUGAUUAAGCUCCAAAGUGCUCCAAAGUCUCCAGUUAAGCUCCAAACGUACCUAUGACCUGAAAAGACCCCAAAAGACUCAAAAGACACUAAAAAGACUCUAUAAAUAAGACAUAUACCAUGGUCAAAAACCAUAAAAACCAUGAUAUAUCAGAUAUAACAUAUAUCAUCUCGUUUUUUUUUUUUUUUUUCUUUUUGUAAAGAAUAUCACUUGAUCUAUGUACCCAAGUAUAUUUAAGAAAUUGGAAAAAUAAGGAUAUUUUAUAAGAAAAUCAUUAAAUUGUAUAAAGAAUAUAAAGUGCUAUUAAAAAUGUGAUUUAAAAAAAAAGAAAAGUACGCAUGAUCCUUCUAUACUUAUAUUCCUAGCUCUUGAGAAAUGAGUUAUUUGAGUUUGGAGACACACGUUCAGGGGACGGUACUCGGCUCUUUGAAAGAGUAUUAAGCUUGAAUGGAUUGCAUGAGCCACAGAACCUUAAGUGUCGGAGGCUUAUCCGCUUAUGUGAAUCAAGUUCAUGUCCACACAAUGAGACGAUACGGUCAAAUAUGUCCUAUGUUCUUGGACCAGUUGCAUACAAUUUAAUUAUCCUCUUGUCAAUAUUAGAUUAGAGAUACAACAGUUUUGUCUUCCAUAGAGAGAGCUUCUUCAUCAUCGACGAAAAGAAGAACAAAAGCCCAUACAUAUCCCAGUUGAAAACGAGAAGAAAAGCCCACACAGAAAAUUAAAGAUACGUGAUUACCUAACUGCAAAAGACAAAGGUAUGUGACCACCUCGGUAACUGCAGAAGACAGUUAAAGGUUGUUGAGUUGAGCCGCCAAAACAGAAUACUUAGAGCAAAAACAGAAGAAGAAGGUAUGUGACCAGCUAGGUAACUGCAGAAGACAAAUAAAGGUUGUUGAGUUGAGCCGCCAAAACAGAAUACUCUCAGUGUAAAAACAGAAGAAGAAGGUACGUACGUGUUCUGUUUCGUAUUAAGAUUAAAAAAAAAAUAGAGCAAUGAGUUCACAAAGGCAUGUGUCAGAGUGUGAUUAGUAGAUUUAGAUCUAAGCUUUAAAAGUGAAAAACAACUAGCAUUUAGCAACAAAAAUAAAAGCAACUAGCUAGUAGAAAACUGAGAGUGGCAAUGGAUGCUGAUAUAUACUUCCUCAUCAACCUCUCAUUUACACUAUUAUUCAUUGAAUAAGAUUAAUAAAAUAUGAUCUUUUAAUUUAAUAGUUUGGAUUUUUUUAAAUAUACGUUGCAUUAAUUAUCAAAAAUUUGUUACUAAUAUAUCUUAAAUGUAAUUUUAUAUAUUAUCUAUGUUUUUUAACAUUUUAAGUGUUUUUUAUAAAUUUAAAUUCGUGUAAUUUUAUGCUAAAUUGUGUUAUUUAAAAAUAUAAUAUUUUGUUAACAUUAUUAAUAUUUGUGAGUGUAUUAAUUUUACUAUUAUAGUUAAUAUAAAUAAAUAUACUAAAUUAAGAUGUAAUCUAAGAUGUAAUUAAUAUAAUUAAAUAUAUUUAAGAUAAUAUUUACUUUAAUAUAUUUUAUAAAAUAAAAACAAAAGAUUUUUUACUUUAAGAUAAUAUUUAGAGACAUUACACUUAAAUGCAUUUUUUAAACACAUAUUACAAUAAAAUACACUUCUAGCUAUUAUGAUAUUUUUUUGUUUUUUUUAAUUUCAUACCAAAAUAAUCCAAAAUUGUCUCAUGUGUUCACGAUAACGUUGGAUGCGAACUAGCAUAGAUUAAACUCAGAUUUUAAAAACAGUAAUUUUUCUCAUCUAUUUUUUGUAUUUUUUAAUAUUGUGAAAGAUAAAUAAAAACAGUUUUUUGUUAUAAUGAAAUAUAAUUUUAUUUUCUCAUAUUUUAAGACACAUUAUACUAUAAUUUAUUUAUUAAAUAAGAAAUUUUUCGAAAAUCAUUUAUAUAAAAUUCAAAAAAAAAAUCACAAGUUUAGUUAGAUAUCCAUUCACAAAAUAAAAUAUGGAUGAUAUAUGAUGGACAUAAAACAUGGACAUGAUGGCAUGAAUUAAUUUUAAUUGAUAUAUUUGACGUGGAUAUAUAUUUUACAUUGUCCACGAUAUAGAUAUAAUUGUGUGGAUAUGUUGUUAUUGAUAUAUUCGACAUGGAUAUACAUUUUACAUUGUCCAUAAUAGGACAUGAUCAUAUGAAUUAUUUUGAUGUUAAAUUUGAAAAAAAAAAAUUAUAAUAAUUAAAAGUGCUUUUUUGUAAGAAUAAGUAGAAAAAUAUAUUUUUGAGUGUAAAUCACUCUAAUAUUUAACUUAAGUUUUCAAUAUUAAUUACACUGAAAUUAAAAUUUGUACAACAUUAAUAAUAUUAUAUAGAUGAGAUAUAUUAGUGGAUACUUUAUCAAAAAAGGCAAAAAUUUAUGAUAGGGUUCUCAAAAAAAACGAAUUCUUAAAAUAUUAGUACUUCCUUCAUUCUGAUUUUAUAUGAUACUUUAUCAUUGUACACAGAUUAAGAAAUCUUUAAUUUAAUUUUUUUCUAUACUAAAACUUUAAUUUUUAUCAUUUUCAAUAUAAUGCAACUAAUUCAAAAAAAUAAUAUGCAAAAUAUAAAAAUCUGUAAAACACCAUUUAGAUAAGAACGGAUGAAAUAUUAUAUUUAUGAGAUAUCCUUAAGAUAUCUUAAUAGAAAUGCUCUUACAAAUAAAAACAAACCAGUGGUCAAAUGUCUUUGGAAAUGUCUCUGUUCUUUGACGACAACAAAAAUUGUCUCUUAACUUUCAGUGUUUUGUUUCAAGAGAAACUAGAUUCUAACCCUGUGCAUCCGCACAAGAAUUUUUUUUAUUUCUGAUAUAAAUUGUAAUUAUUUUUUUGUUUAGAUAUAAUUUGUUUUUGUUAUUUAUUUUUUUUUUAAAUCAAGAAAAUUUUUAGCAUGUUUUAAUUUUAAAUAAUAUAGAUUUGUAUAUCAGUAGAAUAAAUGUAUAAGUUAAUUACGUAUACAUCGACCUAAUGUUAAUUAUAAAAUUUAUUAUUAUGUAAAUUUUUAUUUACAUAUAAACAAUCUAUGUAUAUAUCUAUGAAUUUGCUAAUCUGUCUGUUUAGUUGCCUUAAAAUCAUUUUUUUUAUAAAUAUUUUACAUGUUUUGACAAACUAACCAGAAUAAAACUCUAAUUAUAAAGGGAGAGUUUCACAUUUAACCCAUAUUUCACAGUCAAACAUCAAACUAACCUCUUUUUUUUCUCUCUCCAACUUUUGCCAUUUUCUCACAAUUUUAUCCUUCCCACUUUAACUAUUAACGAAAAUACCAUUAUACAUCUAUUAUUUCGAUUUUUCUUUAAUUUGGCUAAAGUCUCCUUGGACCUUCUAAAGACCUUUUAAUUACGAGAAUGCCAUCUUUUUCAAUUUCUUCAACCACCAUGAACAACCAUGAAAAUAGAAUAAAUGCUUCUCAACCAAUUUUAAAGCUGUAAUAAAACAAAUAUCUGAGCUCAUUCACUCAUAACCUUGCUCAUUCUUUCAUAAUUUCUUCUCCAAAACAUCUGGGCAAAGUUACAAUGCUUCGCGCCAUGCUUUUUUGGUGAUUUCUGGUUACUCGACACCUGGGUUGUUUAAUUUCGGUGAAAUCUUGAGUUCUGGGUGGAUAAGAGAAACUUAGGCGAGCACAAUUUUGUUAAAGGUAAUCCUCGCACUUCAAUUUCUCCACAUUUCAGUUUUUAUAUCGCGAAAGUAGACUUCUCGUGAACUAUACUGAAGUCUACUAGUCAACAUAAGGUUAUUUUUGCAAUUGACUUUUAAAAAGUAGACUUCGUUAAACUUCACGAGAAGUCUACUCGACAUCCUUUGAAAACAAAAAAAAAACUUAGUAGACUUCGUUUGAAGGCUCAAGAAGUCUACUAAAGAAAAGAGGUUAUUUUUGUAGUUUGCCGUAUUUUGACUUUUUGAUUUAGACUUCCGUAUGAAGUCUACUGCUUACGUCUGCAUACAAAGUCUACUUUAAAGUUACUUUUGUAGUUUGACCAAAAACGUAUAGGUCAUUUUUGUGUUUGACUUCUGUUUUUCAAAAAUUAAAAAAUUUAAAAAAUUCCAAAAAACUUCAGUAGACUUCCCAAAGAAGUCUACAAUUUGUAGACUUCUUUGGGAAGUCUACUUAUUUUGUUCGGUCAAACUUAGAAGGAAUCCUUUUUUGAGUAGACUUCUCAAAAAAAUCAAUUGCAAAAAUAACCUAUUUUGUUCCGUAGACUUCUAUUUAAAAAGUAGACUUCAAAUGUAGACUGUCAGAGAAGUCUAUUCUAACAUGAAGUCUACAAUAGAAGUCUAUUCUGUUAGUCAAUGCAUCGGUCCAAUGCUAAAGUAACCUUUUUUUACUGAAGUCUACUCCUGAAGUCUACUGAAGGAAAAGUCAACAGAUUGGUCAAUUGCAAAAAUGACCUUUUUUGUAGAUUUCAUUAGUAGACUUCUCAAUGAAAAAGUAGACUUCUCCUCCAGUCUACAGUUGAAGUCGGCUUACGAAGUCUACUUUUUGAUGUUUUUUAAAAAAUGCGUUUUAAGCAAAUUUAUAAACUAUUUUUCAAAUUUUUUGGUUUAGAAUUGCUUCUUAGUAAGUGAUUGAACUUCCCAUUCAAUUUUAUUUCAUUUCAUUGGAUAUUUAUUGUUGAAUCAGAAAUUUCAAUUUUUUAGGUACUUAGCUUAUCAAAGUAGACUUCUCCUCCAGUCUACAUUCAAAGUCUGCUUUAGAAGUCUGCUUUAGGAGUCUACUUUUAGACGUUUUUUUAAAAACGCGUUUUAAGCAAAUUUAUAAACUAUUUUUCAAAUUUUUUGGUUUAGAAUUGCUUCUUAGUAAGUGAUUGAACUAUCCAGUGAAUUUUAUUUUCAUUUCAUUGGAUAUUUAUUGUUGAAUCAGAAAUUUCGAUUUUUUAGGUACUUAGCUUAUCAAAGUAGACUUCGUCGUGUAGUCUACUCAUGUUCUUUUCCGUAGAAGUCCACUCUUGAUACAAAAAGUCUCUAUGCAGUGUUUGCUAAUAUGGUUUAUAUGGUUUAUAUGGUUAUUUUUUCAGAGAAUGGCUCAAAUUCUAGUUGUGUACGGUGAGUGGAAGAUUGAGGAGAAUUCAUGGCAUUUUGUUGUUGACAUGGGCAAAGGUGGAAGAAUGUGGUUUUUGAACGAUGGUUGCACCUUGGGGGAGCUUACUGAGAUGGCGCGAGAUGAUUAUAACUUGGGCAAGAAGACUGAGCUCAUCGAGUUAACCUGCGCACUACCAAUCUCAAUGUUGCAAACUAUGGCUCCAGAUACACCUCCAAUGCAUGUCACCAAUGAUAGAAAAGUUUCAAGCUUGAUUGCGUUAAGCAGAGUGCAUAUGGUACGUCUUUGUGUGUCCAGUCGAGUGGAGAUGGAUACUGAGGAGAACCAGGAAGGAUCAGAUGAAGAUUUAGGUGAGGAGUCUGAGGAAAAUUCCGAAUAUUCUACCGAUGAUGAGGCAGACAGUUCUGAUGUGAACAAGGAUGGAGAAGAUGUCGACAAUGCAGCUUACUCUGACGGAGAAGAUUACAGUGUCUACAGUAAAGUGAAAGAUGAAGAUGAUGAUGAAAAUGAAGUCUGAAUUACUCUGCAGUUUAUUGUCACAAACAGGCAUGAAUUUACAAAUGACUACACCAAUGCUAUAAUUUAGUAACAUGUUUUAUCAUAGUCUGAAAAUUGUAAACAACUAGUUUUUAAAACAUAAGUAAAUAAUAUCACAUGGUACAUUACACUAGUAAACAUGUUCGAAUUCAAAUGACAUUAGUAUUAAAUGUUCCUAUCUUUGUGUGAUCUUGUUCGCACGUAAUGUUUUCGUAUAGGCGGAGGGUUUUUGGUACUAACCCCUUCAUGCUUCUUGGAUCCAGUGCCCUGCUGCUGGGUUGACUCUACAUUGUCUUUAACCUCUUCCUCAGUGUGCUUCGCCGACCCUGUAGUCAACUCCUCUACCGCACGCUCUACAGAUUCAACCUUCUCGGUGAGAAGUUUGAUCUGCUUUUCACAGCUACCAAGACCAUUCAGCAUCUUGGUUGAAAAGCUUUUGAAGCAUUGGUCGAAGUGCGCUUUCAUAGUAGCGACAACUCCGAUCCCUUCGUCACCAACGAAUGAGGCGGCAGAGGCAGAGGCUGUGCAGGGUCUCUUGCGACUUGAUUCAUCUGAGGGAAGGCUCCUCUUUCCGGCUUCUGCCUUGACGAUGUGUGCACCCAAAACACCUUCCAAAGGCCAAUGGUUUUUUGAGAACUUGAAAUGGGGGUCAUGGAUUGCAUUGACAAUCUUGAAAAUAUCUGGAUCCUGUUCGUCAUCAUCCCACACGGGAAACAUAUCCGCCAAGUCCUUAGCCACGCAGCACUGUAUGCGAGCUUGGAAAAACACAAUAAGUAAAUGAAUUACUAUCCAUAUGAAGCCUCGAAAAACUACGUAUGAAGUCUACUCCUGAAGUCUAACAUAGAAGUCUAUUCCUGAAUGUCUCACACUAUCAAUGGUACAUAUAGAAGUCUACACAUGAAGUCUACUUCUGAAGACUACUUUGAAAAUUCAUUACUACAUAGAAGUCUACUACACUAAUACAGUACCUGUUUUAGCAUGUUGGCUUUGGCGUUCUUUCGUCCUCUUGAUCCUUUGUAAUCCAGCAAAAGAGGUUCAGUAACAUUUGGCAAUGGUUUGCCAAAUCCAGCAGCAAAAUCCGGCAGAGCAUAGUACACCCACACUUGAAGAGCUUGCACAAAUCCUUCUAUAUGAAUGUUUUUGCUGAGAUCUUUCUCCUUAACAGACUUGAUCAAAUGCUGAAAAGCAAUUCUUCCCCAUGGAAACUCCUUAAAACCUUCGAGAUCCAUCACUAGUCUGGCAUGGUUGACAUUUGUGGAUUAGCCAGGUCUUGUUGCCACUAUGAAACCAGCGUAGAUCCCAAGAUAACCCAACCGCAGCCUAUCAUCCCGAGACCAUGAUGAGCAGUUGGAACAGGCUUCAAUAAUUUCGAUAGUGCUUGGACCCGACUCCGCAUCGACCCCCAUUAGCUCCCAAAAUGCACGCAUGUCAUCGGCAAGCGCAAGAUCAGUUAAAGCCAAGUCAUCCACGUACCCGCAGUUGAGUCCGGUGAUCUCCUCAAACUCAUGCAAUGAAAACCAAACUGGAGUGGUACCAAUCAGGCUCCAUAUCUCGUACCUCUGCUUGCAAACUAUCUGAAAGGUCAGCAUGUGGUGCACCAGCCUAGAAGCCCAACCAAAAUCCCAGUCGUGGAACUUUAAAAAGACACCCAACGGUGACUCGUAAAUCUCUUCCCAUUCAUCCUCUUGUAGAGCUGACUUUAGUGCAGGUACCAGCCUAUAAUCAUCAGCAUAAUAGCUCAUGCUUUUAUCUGGGGCUGGCUCAAACCCUUUGGUGUACAGUCUUCUAGGGAAAUCAGAGGCCACCAUUAUCUAACACAGAUUUCUGCAUCAACGGUAACAAAGCUCUAAUGAGAAAAACUAGUAACGAUUUGAAACUAUACACGAAUGAAGUCUACUUUUUCAAAGUGAAGUCUACAUUUUCAAAAUAAAGUCUACUUUUUCAAAAUGAAGUCUACUUUUUCAAAAUGAAGUCUACUUUUGCAAAACGAAGUCUACUUUUUGCAAAAUGAAGUUUACUUUCACAUUCUAAGUACAAUCCGAGUCGAGAAGUCUACUGAAGCCAACCGAAGUAAUCUUAACAUAAAAAAACAGUAUAUUAAGUCAACGGAAUCCACAUGAAACAAUCAAAACAUCAUAAAUACUGCAUAUGCAGUCUACAGAACCCAACCGAAGCAAUCAAUACAUGAUAAAUACUGUAUAUGAUGUCUACUAAAACAAAUCAUCCAAAUGGAAUCUACAAAGUUUAUAGUGUUUACCGCCGUUAUUAGAUGAAGCUGGAGUCGAGAAAAUGCAACCAGAUCUGGGAAAAAAACCUAAGUCAAACCCGACAGACAAAAUUACAGGAAGAUAGAAGAAAUAUAAGAAUUGCUAAGUAUAUAACUUCGGAACAACAUCUACUAACCGUUUUGAGGCAGGAAAUGACGUUAACCUCCAACGGCGAAAGCAGAUCUGCAAAAAAAAAAAAACCCUAAUUUCAAAUCUAGAAACUGGUGGUUACGAAAACGGAAAGGUGAUGAAUAUUGAAUACGGAGGAGUAGGGAAGCAUGGGGGUGUGGUUGGAGGAAGAAAACUUGCCUGAACGAGUUUAUCGGCAGCGGUUCUGUAUGUCGGCGGCGCCGGAGCAGAAAAACAGAAAUCGCCUUCGACUUUUUUUUUUUUUUACACGAACUUUCGACGGUUUUUUUUUUAACAGGAUCUGUAAAAUUCGUAUAUAUAGUCUUGUAAUUCCGUACGGUUCGGAUAAGUUUUUUUCGGUUAGGAUUACUAAUUUUACGGGGUCUAGGUAAAUUUACCCGGUUACAAGCAGUUUUUCUUGGUUAAGGGAAAUUAUUCCCGGUUUAAUUUCGGUUUAAAUUUUGGUUAGGUUAUUUUAUUCGGUUUAGUAGAUAUACAACUUUUAAAACCUAAAUAAUAAAUUUACUUCUACUUAAUUUAAAAACAUAAAUUCAAAAAUCAAUUAGUUCUCUUUUCUCAGCACUCUUUCCUCUUGUUUCUUUCUUCAACCUUUAUUUUACUCUCUAGCAUAAUUUUUUAAAAACAACAAAAGAAAACCAGUAGUUUUCUUUUGAAACAAGCCAGUAGUUUCCACUACAGUUCUCAUACAAAUUCCUUUGAAUUUUCCUCUCCUCUUUACCCGUUUGGCUUAUAUAUAUGAACUAAGAAAGCUUGUUUCCUCAAACCACUGCUAUACUUUCUUCAAACUCUCUUUUGCUCUAUCUCUCUCAUGGCUUCUUCUUCUCCUCCUUCUCCUUGUGCUUAUAUUAAGAGAUACGAUGUCUUUCCAAGCUUCAACGGGCCAGAUGUUCGUAAAGGACUCCUCAGUCAUUUACACGAUCACUUUUUAAGGAAGGAAAUCAAAAUGUACAAGGAUGAUAAGAUGGAGAGAUGCCAACGAUCAAACGUGAACUCGUGAAAGCGAUUAGAGAAUCGAGGGUCUUGAUGGUUUUGCUCUCGAAAAACUACGCUUCUUCGAGCUGGUGUUUGGACGAACUGGUGGAAAUCUUGAAGUGCAGAAAAGAUAAGGAACAGAUUGUGAUGCCUAUUUUCUACGACCUUGAUCCGUUCCAUGUACGCACACAGAGCGGUGACUUCGGAAGCGCGUUCGAGAAAACCUGCGAAAACCAAACAGAGGAAGUGAAGCAGAGAUGGGUCGAAGCUUUGAAAUGUGUAACGACCAUAGCUGGAGAACAUUCUCGUAACUGGUUUGUUUUAACCUGCAUAACUUCUUUCGUGAUUCAACCAUAGCUGGAGUUUCUAUAAUUUAUUAAGAUUUUGUUUUUUUUUUCAGGACUGAUGAUGCUGAGAUGGUCCAAAAGCUUUGCACAGAAGUCUCGAACAAACUGAAAGUGGAAGAGUCUAAGGAAGAAUUUAGGAAGUACGAUGUAGACAAUAAUGGUUUCAUAACUGCAGCAGAGCUUCCACGAUGUGUGUUGAUAAAAGAUGGAGAAGAAUCUACUGAUAAGCAAGUUCGUAGUAUCAUCCGAGUAGUUGAUAUUGAUGGCGAUGGUCAGAUCAACUUUGAUGAAUUUGUCGAACUCAUGGCUCUUAGGUAAGGGAUUCUUGAAAGCCUUAACCUCAAAGAAACAAAAAGAAAAACGAUUUAUGAUGUCUUACAGUGAAAUCUUAUCAUAUGAUUUAGAACGCUUUUGUCUCUCUUAAUCAAUGAUUCAAUAGUGGAGUUUCUAUAGUCUAAUAACAUUCUGUUUUUUUUUUUUUUUUCUUAGGAUGACUGAUAAGAAGCUUUACACGGACCAAGUGAAAGCGGAAAUGAUGAAGGAAGGCUUUAGGGAAUGCGAUGUAGACCAGAAUGGUUACAUAACUGCACCAGAGCUUCGAUAUGUGCUGACAAAAGAUGGGGAGGAAUUUACCGAUAAGCAAGUUCGUAAGAUCAUCCGAAAAGCUGAUGUUAAUGGCGGUGAUCAGCUCAACUGUGAUGAAUUCUUCAAAUUCAUGAAUCUCAUGAUGGAUGCGUAAGGGAUUCUUAAGCCUUAACCUCAUGGAUAAAAAAAAAGGAUUUAUGAAUUAUGAUGUCUUACAGUGAAAAUAUUUUAACGCCUUUUUGUUUCUUAAUCUAAUCUAUAAGAUUCUGUUUUUUUUUUCUUUUGUUAGAAAGAGGAUGACUGAUGAAAGAGCUGCGAGAGUCGAAAAGAUUGCCUCAUAUGUAUCGAACAAACUGGAUAAAUUCGCCAUAUAGAUUCAUGAUAAAAGCCUUCUCCUGAAGAAGAAAAGAAAAACGAUUUAUGAAUGUCUUACAGUGUGAAUUUUCAUCAUGAUAUGAUCCUGGUUGUCUUCUUUAGGACAUGUUUUUUUUACUUCUUUCCACCUUCGAUUUGGUUGCUUUGUUAAUCUCUUUAAUUAGUGUUAUGUCAAGUAUGAACUCAUGUUUUGCUCCUCCUAGUGACAAUUGAUUUUAUCUCUUUUUUUGUGUUUCCUAUUUAGAUAUGAGAGAUUGUAUUGGGAUAUAACAUAUAUCAUCUCGUUUUUUUUUUCUUUUUUUCUUUUUGUAAAGAAUAUCACUUGAUCUAUGUACCCAAGUAUAUUUAAGAAAUUGGAAAAAUAAGGAUAUUUUAUAAGAAAAUCAUUAAAUUGUAUAAAGAAUAUAAAGUGCUAUUAAAAAUGUGAUUUAAAAAAAGAAAAGUACGCAUGAUCCUACUAUACUUAUAUUCCUAGCUCUUGAGAAAUGAGUUAUUUGAGUUUGGAGCCACACGUUCAGGGGACGGUACUCGGCUCUUUGAAAGAGUAUUAAGCUUGAAUGUAGAUUGCAUGAGCCACAGAACCUUAAGUGUCGGAGGCUUAUCCGCUUAUGUGAAUCAAGUUCAUGUCCACACAAUGACGUCAUACGGUCAAAUCUGUCCCAUGUUCUUGGACCAGUUGCAUACAAUUUAAUUAUCCUCUUGUCAAUAUUAGAUUAGAGAUACAACAGUUUUGUCCUCCAUAGAGAGAGCUUCUUCAUCAUCGACGAAAAGAAGAACAAAAGCCCAUACAUAUCCCAGUUGAAAACGAGAAGAAAGCCCACACAGAAAAAAUACGUGAUUACCUAACUGCAAAAGACAAAGGUAUGUGACCACCUAGGUAACUGCAGAAGACAAUUAAAGGUUGUUGAGUUGAGCCGCCAAAACAGAAUACUCUCAGUGCAUAAACAGAAGAAGAAGGUACGUACGUGUUCUGUUUCGUAUCAAGAUUAAAAAAAAAAAUAGACCAAUGAGUUCACAAAGACUAUGUGUCAGAGUGUGAUUAGUAGAUUUAGAUCUAAGCUUUAAAAGUGAAAAGCAACUAGCAUUUAGCAACAAAAAUCAAAGCAACUAGCUAAUAGAUAACUGAGAGUGGCAAUGGAUGGUGAUAUAUACUUUCUCAUCAACCUCUCAUUUACACUAUUAUUCAUUGAAUAAGAUUAAUAAAAUAUGAUCUUUUAAUUUAAUAGUUUGGACUUUUUUAUAUAUACGUUGCAUUAAUUAUCAAAAAUUUGUUACUAAUAUAUCUUAAAUGUAAUUUUAUAUAUUAUCUAUGUUUUUUAACAUUUUAAGUGUUUUUUAUAAUUUUAAAUUCGUGUAAUUUUAUGCUUAAUUGUGUUAUUUAAAAACAUAAUAUUUUGUCAUUAUUAAUAUUUGCGAUUGUAUUAAUUUUACUAUUAUAGUUAAUAUAAAUAAAUAUACUAAAUUAAGAUGUAAUCUAAGAUGGAAUUAAUAUAAUUAAAUAUAUUUAAGAUGUAAUUUAAUAUAUUUUAUAAAAUAAAAACAAAAUAUUUUUAACUUUAAGAUAAUAUUUAGAGACAUUACACUUAAAUGCAUUUUUAAACACAUAUUACAAUAAAAUACACUUCUAGCUAUUAUGAUAUAUUUUUUUUUUUAAUAUUUCAUACCAAAAUAAUCUAAAAUUGUCUCAUGUGUUCACGUAACGUUGGGUGCGAACUAGCAUAGAUUAAACCCAGAUUUUUAAAACAGUAAUUUUUUCUCAUCUAUUUUUUUGUAUUUUUUAAUAUUGUGAAAGAUAAAUAAAAAACAGUUUUUUUUGUUAUAAUGAAUUAUAAUUUUAUUUUCUCAUAUUUUAAGACUUAUUAUACUAUAGUUUAUUUAUCAAACAAGAAAUUUUUCGAAAAUCAUUUAUAUAAAAUUCAAAAAAAAAAAAAAUCACAAGUGUAGUUAGAUAUCCAUUCACAAAUAAAAUGUGGAUGAUAUAUGAUGGACAUAAAACAGGGACAUGAUGGCAUGAAUUAAUUUUAAUUGAUAUAUUCGACGUGGAUAUACAUUUUAUUGUCCACAAUGUGGACAUAAUUGCGUGGAUAUGUUUUUAUUAAUAUAUUCGACUUGGAUAUACAUUUUACAUUGUCCAUAAUAGGACAUGACCAUGUGAAUUAUUUUGAUGUUAAAUUUGAAAAGAAAAAAUAUUAUAAUAAUUAAAAGUGUUUUUUGUAAGAAUAAGUAGAAAAAUAUAUUUUUGAGUGUAAAUCACUCUAAUAUUUAACUUAAAUUUUCAAUAUUAAUUACACUGAAAUUAAAAUCUGUAAAAAAUUAAUAAUAUUAUAUAGAUGAGAUAUUUUGGUGGGUACUUUAUCAAUAAAGGAAAAAAUUUAUUAUAGGGAUCUCAAAAAAAAAAAUGAUACUUUAUCAUUGUACACAGAUUAAGAAAAUCUUUAAUUUAUUUUUUUUCUAUACUAAAACUUUAAUUUUUAUCAUUUUCAAUAUAAUGCAACUAAUAUAAAAAAUGAUAUGCAGAAUAUAAAAAUCUGUAAAACACCAUUUAGAUAAGAACGGAUGAAAUAUUAUAUUUAUGAGAUAUCCUUAAGGUAUCUUAAUAGAAAUGCUUUUACAAAUAAAAACAAGCCAGUGGUCAAAUGUCUUUGGAAAUGUCUCUGUUCUUUUACGCCAAAAAAAAAUGUCUCUUAACUUUCAGUGUUUUGUUUCAUGAGAAACUAGAUUCUAACCCCGUGCAUCCGCACGAGAAUUUUUUGUUUUUUAUUCUAAUAUAAAUUGUAAUUAUUUUUUUUGUUUAGAUAUAAUUUGUUUUUGUUAUUUAUUUUUUUUUAAAUCAAGAAAAUUUUUAGCAUGUUUUAAUUUUAAAUAAUAUAGAAUUGUAUAUCAGUAGAAUAAAUAUAUAAGUUAAUUACGUAUACAUCGAUCUAAUGUUAAUUAUAAAUUUUAUUAUUAUGUAAAUUUUGAUUUACAUAUAAACAAUCUAUGUAUAUAUCUAUGAAUUUGCUAAUUGUCUGUUUAGUUGCCUUAAAAUCAUUUUUUUAAUAUUUUACAUGUUUUGACAAACUAACCAGUAUAGAACUCUAAUUAUAAAUGCAUAACCCUAAUUUGCUCUAUCAUAUUAUUGUAGAAUAGAAAUAUUAAUUAAUAUUGAAGUUUUGAUAGUUUAGAUUGAUUGAUUAUGAUAAAAUAUAAUAAGAUAUUCAUUUACCAUUAUAUCUAUAUAUUGGCUAACCUGUUAGUUUAAUUGCCUCAAAUCAUCUUAAUAUCUUAUAUAUUUUAAUAAACUAAUUUAUAGACCAUAAGUAUAAAUAUAUAACCCUAAUCAGCUAUAUUAUAUUAUAAAUUUGAUAUUUUAGACCGAUUGAUUAUGAUAAAAUACAAUAAGAUAUUCGUUUAUUAUGCGCUAUUAUGAGAAUAUCAUUUAAAUUUAAAAUUUAAAUUAAAUCUAACAUGUAUUUAAGUAAUUCUAAAGUAUUAAAAUUAUUAUCUAAAUUUUUAUAAUAAAAUUUAAUUAUAAUUUUUUCAUUUUUUGAAUUUUAAAUUAAAUUUGAAUAAUUAUAAAUUUUGAAUAAUUUCAAAUUUAAACAAAUAUGACAUAUAUUUAAGGAAAUCUAAAACUAUUUAAAUAUAUAACUAAUUUUCGGAAAUAAAUAUAAAUAUAAAAUAAAAUAUUUUUAAAAAAAAUUUGGGAGUGUUUGGAAGCAGAUACUAAAAAUGCUUCUGUUUUAAUAUAAUAGAUUGCACAAACUAGUAACCAAUAAAUUGAAAAUUAGUUCUCUUUCCUCAGCACUAUUCAUCGCGUACUAUUUAUUGCCAAAAAUCAAUUUUACCCUUCUUUUUUCAAUCAAAUUACAUCUUUAGUUUUUAUCUCUUCAACCAUUGUCCAUGAAAGAAAAAUGCAAAGAAUAAGAGAAAAAAAUAGAACAAGAAAAGAAGAAAGAAGAGAACAAAGAAGAUGGAUGAAAUUGAAGAUAGAAAUGGAGAUGGAGGUUAGUUAUAGUGCAACGAUGGUCUUAAUGAUGGUGGUGACGUCACCACUGACGUCACGAUAUGUUAUCGAUAACAUUAUUAGCAAUUAGCAAACGAGUUAUCGAUAUAAUUUUGAAUAAAUCUUGUUAUGAUAACUAAGUUAGCACACAUACUAUUCUGAUUUGUAUAUGUUAACAUACAAAAAGUAUCAGAUAUUAUUGUUAAUAUGUUAUAAAUACUAGAUAUUAGUGUUAAACACAUUAAUAUUUAUAUAAUAUGUUAUUAUAAUUAUUAUCAUGUUAACUAAUUAUAUAACAUUAUAUUAAUAUUAGCAUGUUAACAUUUUAUAUUAGACGUUAACAGAAUAAACGUUAUCAUGUUAAUUAUUGUUAGCAUGUUAACAAGAAGAUUUCUGGUAAUGAAUAGUGUCAUCGGACGUUUAUGGACAAUGUUACCCGUUUGUGGAUGAACAGUAUUUCCAAUAUAAUCUAUCAGAAAAAAAAAAAUUAAAUCAUUGGCAAUUUUAUAAAUAAACAAAAUAAGAAGGAUAGAAUUGGAUAAAACAAUAUAUUCUUUUUGCUAGUUACCUAAUUAUCAAUUUAUCGAUGCUAUAAACUUAAUUUUUUUUAUGAACCAUUGAUAUACAAUAAAUUCACUCUUGCUUCAAUAUAACAUAAAGAAGGGACAUGUUUCUUUCUUCAACCUUUAUUUUACUCUCUAGCCUAAGCCAGUGGUCCUCUCCUUGGCGGCUAUAAAAAAACAAACUUUUAAGAGCCGCCAACGACUUCAUACAAAGACCUUUGAAACAAACAAGCCAGUAGUUUCCAGUACAGUUCUCAUACAAAUUCCUCUGAAUUUUACUCUCCUCUUUAAGCAUUUCGCUUCUAUAUAUACACAAGGAAGCUUGUUUCCUCAACCACUGCUAUACUUUCUUUAAACGCUCUCUUUUGCUGGAUUUCUCUCAUGGCUUCUUCUUCUUCUUCUUCUUCUUCUUCUCAUUUUUCGUCUGAGGUUAAGAGUCUCCAUGUAUUUCCGAGCUUCCACGGCCCAGAUGUUCGUAGAGGAUUCCUCAGUCAUUUACACGAUCUCUUUGCAAGGAAAGAGAUCACGAUUUUCAAGGAUCAGGAGAUCGAGAGAGGCCAUACGAUCGGAUCUGAACUCGUGAAAGCCAUUAGAGAAGCGAGACUGUCCAUCGUUUUGCUCUCCAAGAACUACGCUUCUUCGAGCUGGUGUUUGGACGAACUGGUGGAAAUCUUGAAGUGCAGAGAAGCUCAGGGGCAGAUUGUGAUGCCCAUUUUCUACGAUGUUGAUCCGUCCAGUGUACGCAAACAGAGCGGAGACUUCGGGAUCGCUUUUGAGAAAACCUGUGAAGGUGAAACAGAGGAAGUGAAACAGAGAUGGGUCGAAGCUUUGACAUGUGUAGCAACCAUAGCUGGAGAACACUCUCGUAACUGGUUUGUUUUUGAGCUCAAUGAACCUGCAGAAAUCCUUUUUUAAUUAUCUUUCGUUUAAGAUUUUGUUUUUUUUUUUCAGGACUGAUGAAGCUGCUAUGGUGGAAAAGCUUUCCACAGACGUCUCGAACAAACUGAGAUUGGAAGAGAUUAAGAAAGAGUUUAGGGAAUGCGAUGUGGACCAGAAUGGUUUCAUAACUGCAGCAGAGCUUCGAUAUGUGUUGACAAAAGAUGGGGGUGAAUUUACUGAUGAGCAAGUUCGUGAUAUCAUUCGAGUAGCUGAUGUUGAUGGCGAUGGUCAGAUCAACUAUGAUGAAUUUGCCAAAUUCAGGACUCUUGUGUGAGGGUUUCUUAAAAGCCAAGAAAACAAAAAGUGUCUUACAGUGAAAUCUUAUUGCAAUCUAAUAAAAAUAAGUUUUUUUUUUUUUCGUUUGUUAGGAUGGCUGAUGAAGAUGCUGCGAGCGAAAAGCUUUCUACAGAUAUCUUGAACAAACUGAGAGUGGAAGAUAUGAAGGAAGAAUUUAGGAAAUACGAUGUAGACAAGAAUGGUUUCAUAACUGAAGCAGAGCUUCGAUAUGUGAUGACAAAAGAUGGGGGGAAAGUAACCGAUGAAGAAGUUGAUGAGAUAAUCCGAAAAGCUGACGUUGAUGGCGAUGGUCAGAUCAACUAUGAUGAAUUUGCCAAAUUUACCAUAGCUAAGUGAGGCAUUCUUAAUUAAAUCUUUUUUUUAAAAAAAAAAAAACCUUAAUUAACCUGAAGGAAAAAAGAAGAAGGAAAAAGUGUGUCUUACAUUGAAUUUUCAUCAUGAUUUAAUUAGAACGCUUUUGUGUCUUUUUAAUUUUUGUAGGGAGGCUGAUGAAGAAGCUGCGAUGGUUCGAAAGUUUGCCACAGAUGUUACACUGUCGAGGGAGGAAGAGAAAGAAAUUAAGGAAUUAUUUACGGGUUUAGAUGUAGACCAGAAUGGUUUCAUAACUGCAGCAGAGUUUCAAUAUGUGAUGAAAAAUAGUGGGAGCAAACUAACCGAUAAGGAAAUUCGUAAUUUCUUCCGAAGAGCUGAUGUUGAUGGCGAUGGUCAUCUCAACUACGAUGAAUUCGUCAAAGUCAUGACGGCUGAGUGAGACAUUCUUAACCCUUUAUAGAUAAAGCCUUUGUUUAUAAUGUAAAACGGCUUUGUCUUUUUUUUUAAAAAUCGAUGAUUCAGUCGUGGAGUUUCUAUAAUCUUAUAAGAUUCUGUUUUUUUUUUUUCUUUUUUGUUAGAAGGAGGAGGGCUGAUGAGGAAGCUGCGAGGGUCGAAAAGACUGCAACAGAUGUCUUGAACAAAGUGAAUAAAUUCGUCAAAUUCAUGGUGAAAGCUUUAUCUUGAAGAAAAAAGAAUAACGAUUUACGAAUGUCUAAGUAAAUUUUCAUCAUGACUUGAACCUGGCUGUCUUCUUUAGGACAUGUUUUUACUUCUUUAAUUUCCACCUUCUAUUUGGUUGCUUUGUUAAGCUCUUCAAUUAAUGUUAUGUCAAGUAUGAACUCAUGUUUUGCCCAUCUUGUGACACUUGAUUUUCUCUCUUUGUUUUAUUUGUUUCUAUAUUUCUCUUGUUUUUUUUCUUCAAUAUAAUGUACUACAAAUUGGCCGCCAAGACGUCUAGGGUAGUUGAAAAAUACUCAAACGACACAAGUUUAACCGGUAAAAAUUUGGUCAAAGAAAAAGGUCAACGUUCGAUUAGUCUCUCACAAAUCACAAGAAGAAAGAUUCCUGAUCUUUAUCGCAAGAGGAAGCAAGAGACUGUAUUUUAAAACGAGAUCUCGUUUUAAAACUAAACUAAAUUCUAAUUCCGUGCGUUUGCACAAGAAAUUUUCUUUGUUUAACGAAUUUCGUAAUAUAAUUUACGUUUUUUGAGUUUAGAUAUAAUUAUUUUUAUAGAUAAAUUCUUUUAAUAAAUAAAAAUAUUUAUUUUUUAAUUUAGAUAUAAUUUGCUUUUUGUAAAUUUUUUUAUAAUAUCAAAGAUAAUUGUGAUUAUUAAAAAUAUAAUUUUACCAUGUCCAUUCAUAUUAAUCUCAAAAAACUAUGAUUAUAAAAUUAUAAUUUUAACUUGUCCGUUCAUAUUACUUUAUAUUAUAAAUAUUUAUUAAAAUUUGUAUUUUAUUUUAUAAAUAGUAUUUCAACAGUAUUUUAUUUAUCAUGAAAUAUUUUAUAAAUAGUUUUCUAAAUUUAAUCUAUAAUAAAUGUAUGUAAUAAUUUUUAAUUUAUUUUUUAUGUUUUUCAUUUUGUAUAAAAAUAUAUUUUGGUUUAUAUUUAUGAUUUAAAAUUAGUGAUUUUAGCUACCAAAAUAUUUUUAACUCGGUUUUUAUAUAUAUUUUUAGUUCUAUGAAUUAUAAAUAUGAUUUAUAUUGGAUUGUUUUGGGAAGCAAUGAUGGUUCUUGCAAAAUCUGGGAUGCCAAAGAAAGAACUUGCUUCAAGACUCCGAUUGAUAAUAAAUCUCAUGAUGUUUCCUUCGCCAAAUUCUCUCCUAAUGGGAAAUUCAUCCUUGUUGCCACUCUUGAUAGUACCCUCGUAAGUUGAAAAAUUCAGUUCCAAAUUUUGUAAUGUUAAAUUUGGUUUGAAUGAUCGCUUAGGCUAUGAACACACGAAAAGUAAAGAAUCUAACUCCUUGUUGGAUUAAUCUGUGAUAAAUUCUGAAUAUGAAUUGAAGAAUGUAGAGUUUUGGUUUGAAAGAUCACUUAGGUUCUGAAAUUUUACAUGAUUUAGAUUCAAACUGUUAUGGUUUUGUCUUUGAUGGGUUCUUGCAUUAGUCUUCUAUGUUUGAUCUUGAUCAUGAUUUAGAAGUUGUGGUCGACAGUAGCAGGAAACAAACAAAAAUUAACCAUAGAACUUAUGAUAUGCAGCUCUUCUCAUGAACUUUUGAUUGACAGUAGCUCUUCUUGUAGAUAUUUCAUUCUCUAAGAAAAGAAAAAAAAGGUGGCACGAAUGAUUAAAUCUUGAUCUAGAGAGAUUGUGCCAAGAAACCAGCUGAGGCGUUAUUUUUGAUGGAAUGACCUUUAUAUGGUUAAAAUUUUAGGAAAUCUUUAUAAACAUUUAUGAAGAUUUCCCUAAAAGUUCAGAAAGACAUCCUAACUCUUUUAAAAAUGUCAGAUAUAUUUUAUUAAACAUUAGUAAAGCUUGUAAACCUACAUUGAGUGGAAUUUCCUAAUCAUUUAGCAACCAUUCACAAACCCGUGUAUCUUCUAUGGUCUAUGCAUCACUUCUCUUGAAACUAUUUGUGUUUUUUUUUUUUCUUUUUUGGGGUCAUCAGGUUUUAUAGCUGAGAGCCUCUCGGAAGAAGAGAUUGCUGGUUUAAGAUAAUUGUUUCAGGCAAUGGAUAUUGAUAACAGCGGCGCUAUUAAGUUUGAUGAACUCAAAACUAGGCUGAGGAAAUAUGGAUCAACCUUGAAAGACACAGAGAUCCAUUAUCUCAUGGAAGCGGUAAAAUCUAAUCUCAUUUGGCUACAAAAUGAAAGUUAAUUAUUGUGUGCUUUCAGUGACGAGCUCUUGUAUUGGCCAGGCUGAUGUGGAAAACAGUAGGACAAUUGAUUACAGUGAGUUCAUUGCAGCUACUAGCCAUAUAAACUAACUGGAGCAGGAAGAACAUCUUGUCGCUAGGUUUUAAUACUUUGACAGACGGAAGCGCUUCCUAAAACAUUAGGAAAAACUUUGUAAACCUUUUUAAUAUUAAUGGUUUCUCUAAACUCUUAAGAAAUAUUCAUAUAUAAUUCAUAAAUUUUUGAAAAAAACUUUCAUAAAUCCUUUUAGUUAGACUUUUUAUCAUUUAGGAAAGCGUUCCGAAAAGUUUAAAAUGGCUUCCUAAAUCAUUAGAAAUGCUCUGCAAACCUAUUAGUGUUUCUAGAGGGUUUGAAACUCUUAGGAAACAUAUAUAAACCCUUCAUAAAAUUCGUAAUAAGAAUUUCUUAACAUUUAGAAAAGCAUUCCUAAAAAUUUAUAAAAGCUUUCUAAAACGUUGAAAAGCUUCUUAGAGCACUAGAAAUGCUUUGUAAAUCUUUUGAAAUUUCGAGGGUUUAAAAACAUCUUAAGAAAACUCCUUGAGAAACCCUUGAAAAAAACAUUCUUCAAAAUUUAGGUGGUCAUUUUCUUGUUUCUUGAUUAUGAAAUAAGACAUUGCUAAAUUUGUAUGAACCUUUUCCAAUAUUUAUAGAUGCUUCCUAAAUUUAGAGUUUCCGAAAGCCUUCUUACUUUUUAGGAAUCAUUUUUACAAAUUUAAGAAUGUCCUCCUAAAUCGUAUAUUAACCAAUUCAUAUUAAGUUCACAUAUUAGGAUCAGAAGACAUUCUUCUGAUUAGCUAAACAAAUAUUGUUUGAAGCUUGGGGAAUACGGGCUUCGGGCCCAGAACCUCUCGGUAAUCUAAAAAAAAAAUGUAGAUAUAUUGUUUGAAUAAACACAAAAGAGAAUCAUGCGAUGAAGAGGAUGGGACUACGAGCAGUCGAGCAAGAUUCAAUUUGCAUUCAGCUGCGAGGAAAAUAACAUGAUACUUGAGUUGCGGAGUACAGACUUUUGAGUAGUGGAAGCAGCAAGUAUUAUGUCAUUUUCAAACGAAUUAAAAGUCGGUUUAGUUAUCAAACCAAAUUUACAAUUGGAAGGGGGUUUAGAAUCAUAAUUUGAAUCUUUUCACGGUGGUGGUGGUGGGGGGGGGGGGGGGGGGGUUUAGAACCCUCAUUUUGAAUCUACCUAGUUAGUCUUCUUCUAAUUUAUCUCCUGUCGGAUUCUGAUAUUUUUAUCUCUGAGCUCAAUUUACAAAUUCAUAUUCCGGUUUACAAAAUAAAAACAAGCCAGUGGUCAAAUGUCUUUGGUCUUUAAGCAUUUUGCUUUCAGAUGUAUAAAGAAGGGAUUUGUUUCUUCCUCCAGGCUCCAUAGAUAUCUUAUCCAAAGCCACUGUGAUAGAUACUUUCUUCAACCUCUCUGUUUACUCUCUCUCUCUCUCUCUCUCUCAGUCUCUAGUCAAAGCCAGUGGUCCUCUCCUCGGCGGCUAUAAAAACAAAAGAAAACAAACUUUUGAAACAAGCCAGUAGUUUCCAGUACAGUUCUCAUACGAAAAUUCCUUUGAAUUUUCCUCUCCUCUUUACCCGUUUGGCUUAUAUAGAUGAACUAAGAAAGCUUGUUUCCUCAAACCACUGCUAUACUUUCUUCAAACUCUCUUUUGCUCUAUCUCUCUCAUGGCUUCUUCUUCUCCUGCUUCUCCUUGUGCUUAUAUUAAGAGAUACGAUGUCUUUCCAAGCUUCAACGGGCCAGAUGUUCGUAAAGGACUCCUCAGUCAUUUACACGAUCACUUUUUAAGGAAGGAAAUCAAAAUGUACAAGGAUGAUAAGAUGGAGAGAUGCAAUACGAUCAAACAUGAACUCGUGAAAGCGAUUAGAGAAUCGAGGGUCUUGAUGGUUUUGCUCUCGAAGAACUACGCUUCUUCCAUCUGGUGUUUGGACGAACUGGUGGAAAUCUUGAAGUGCAGAAAAGAUAAGGAACAGAUUGUGAUGCCUAUUUUCUACGACGUUGAUCCGUUCCAUGUACGCACACAGAGCGGUGACUUCGGGAGCGCUUUCGAGAAAACCUGCGAAAACCAAACAGAGGAAGUGAAGCAGAGAUGGGUCGAAGCUUUGAAAUGUGUAACGACCAUAGCUGGAGAACACUCUUGUAACUGGUUUGUUUUUGUGCUCAAUGAACCUGCAAGAAUCCUUUUUAUCUUUCGUUUAAGAUUUUGUUUUUUUCCAGGCCUGAUGAAGCUGCGAUGGUCCAAAAGCUUUGCACAGAUGUCUUGUACAAACUGAGAGUGGAAGCUAUUAAGGACGAAUUUAGGAAGUACGAUGUAGACAAGAAUGGUUUCAUAACUGUAGCAGAGCUUCGACGAUAUGUGUUGAUAAAAGAUGGUGAGGAAUCUACCGAUAAGAAAGCUCGUAGUAUCAUCCGAGUAGCUGAUGUUGAUGGCGAUGGUCAGCUCAACUGUGAUGAAUUUGUCGAACUCAUGACUCUUAGGUGAGGAUUCUUAAAAGUCAAAAAAAAAAAAAACGAUUAAUGAUGUGUUACAGUGAAAUCUUAUCAUAUGAUUUAGAAUGCUUUUGUCUCUCUUAAUCAAUGAUUCAAUAGUGGAAUUUCUAUAGUCUAAUAACAUUCUGUUUUUUUUUUUUUUUUCUUAGGAUGACUAGUGAAGAGCUUUACACGGACCAAGUGAAAGCGGAAAUGAUGAAGGAAGGCUUUAGGGAAUGCGAUGUAGACCAGAAUGGUUACAUAACUGCACCAGAGCUUAAAUACGCGUUGACAAAAGAUGGGAAGGAAAUUACCGAUAAGCAAGUUCGUAAGAUCAUUCGGGUAGCUGAUGUUAAUGGCGAUGGUCAGCUCAACUGUGAUGAAUUCUUCAAAUUCAUGAAUCUCAUGAUGGAUGCGUAAGGGAUUCUUAAGCCUUAACCACAUGAAAAGAGAAAAAAAAAAAGGAUUUAUGAAUUAUGAUGUCUUACAGUGAAAAUUUUAACGCUUUUUUCUUUCUUAAUCUAAUCUUAUAAGAUUCCUUUUUUUUUUCUUUUGUUAGAAAGAGGAGGACUGAUGAAAGAGCUGCGACGAUCGAAAAGAUUACCACAUAUGUCUCCACCAAAAAGGAUAAAUUUAGUCAUAUGCAUGGUAAAAUAAGCUUUAUCCUGAAGAAGAAAAGAAAAACGAUUUAUGAAUGUCUUACAGAGUGAAUUUUCAUCAUGACUUGGUCCUGGUUGCCUUCUUUAGGACAUGUUUUUUACUUCUUUCCACUUUUGAUUUAGUGGUUUUGUUAAUCUCUUUAGUGUUAUGUCAAGUAUGCACUCAUGUUUUGCUCAUCUUGUGACAAUUGAUUUUCUCUCUUUGUUUUAUUUGUUUCUAUAUUUCUCUUGUUUCUUUUAAAAUAAUGUUCUACAAAACCGCAUUAAAGCGGAAGAAUGAAUAACAUAUCAAUCCUGUUAUCUCAGCUCAACAAGAUAUAUAAUAUGUGCAGAAACUUGAAUUCCCCAAUCUUGGGGCAUAAUUGGACAAGCCUUUUCAAAUGUGGAUCUAAGCAGAAAUUGGUUGUGAAUUUGAGUUGUCUUUUUUACUAAAAACUUGAGACAGCUUCAGAUUAGUUGUUGUAUGGGAUUGGUGGACCUAGCUACCUCCUUUUUUCCAAGUUUUCUAAACUGAAAGUGUUAUAUAUAAAAGAGUGCAACAACUGUGAGGGUCUGUGAAACAUCUCUCUCUCUUUAAAUUUAAAAUAGAACAAUUAUAAUAGCUUUCAUAUGAUUAUGAUUUUAUUUUAUAUAUGAACAUUAAGUAAGUUUAUUCUGGAUUGAUAAAUAAGAAUAUUCUUUACAUUAUUUGACUUAGUCGUCUUAAAAUCAAUACUGACCUAGUCUUCUAAAAAAAUCAGAUAUUCUCAUUAAUUCUUCAGAGUCUUGAUGUAGUCGUCUUAAAGUCACACAUCCUCAUCAAAUUGAUGUUAUAUUAAGAGUUGAGUUAGUUUGAACAAUGACAAUAGAUCAGUUUUUAUUUUAAGUAAUGAGUGUUGGUGAGAUUGUUAAUAACAAAUGAAAAAAGGGUGCGGAUAAAAGUAUAGAAUGGAAUCUAUCCACAGUGACAAUGAGUCUCGUUAGAAUAUUGAUGUAUACCAAAUAAAAUACUGUCCAAAUAUUGAUGUAUACCAAAUAAAAUACUGUCCAAAUUGUAUUCUAACUCAUUUUGCUUCCUUGGACAAAUUGUCAUUUUGUUAAUUACUCUCAUUUUUCUUGCAAUGUAGUGCAUAAAAUUCUCC
rnacentral:lncRNA from 1 species